GACGCGGGAGUCCCGGCGGUAGUGCCCGCCGAGCAUGUAGUGGCCGACGUAGCCCUCGCAGCUGCCCGGCACCGUCGUCCAGUCGCGCUUGUUGUACGUCUCCACGGCCAGCCGCCAGCUGUCGCACGGCACGCCGGCGCGCAGGCCCAGGUCUCCCGCGGAGCCCAUCAGGGGCCGCAGCGCGUGGAUCAGCGACGACGACGCCGACGCCGACGACGCCGCCGACGACAGGUCUUCCUUCAGGCGCUCCGCGGCGGCCUCGACGGACUGCGCCGCCGUCGUCGUCGGCAGCGUCCGGAGGAGGCUCAGUGGCCCCCGCCAGGCGCUGCCGCCGCAGGAGCUGCCGGCCACGAGGACCAUCAGGAGGACGAGCUUGGCCGUGGCCAUUGCCAUUGCCAUUGCGACUGCGCCACGCACCCGAUCUGCUGCGUGCUAGGAGAACACUCUGUGUGUCCCCUGUUCUAUCUGCGAUGCACAGCACAGGCGUGGUUGUGUGAACUUUAAUAGAGCAUGCGUGUAGUGUUGAGGGCCCACAUGUCAUCAGCCCAGCGCGUGAACCACGUGGAGUAUGGUCACUGACGUUGAUGGGCAGGUUUGGACGGGCGCGAUGGGACGAAUGGUAGUGGACAAGCGCUGCUGGCCGUGUACCCAUUAUUGGAUGACAAUGGGUAGUUUUGGGUUGGAUAUCUUUGGGUUUCAGGUUCAGGUUUGGAAGGGAUUUCUCACCCAUGCUUUUUGGGUUUGGGAGCCCAAAACCUAUUGCAUUCGGUUGCGGGUUUGAUUUUUUCAUCCGAUGGUAUCCAAUGGAUACCAGAUUUGAAUCAUUUGGUACCAAAAAAUCGAGUAUCCAUUGGGUAGAAAAAAAGUUAUUCCUGGAUCAUUUGGUACCAAAAAAUCGCCCAAAACCUAUUGCGUUCGGUUGCGGGUUCAGGGAAUCAUUUUGGGUAUCCAAUCGAGUUUCGGGGAUUCGUGGGUAUUAGUUUCAGGGAUGGAUUUCCAUCCAAGUUUGGUGUUUGAGGCGGUUCAGGUUUUCAGUUCGAGUUUCGGUUUUGGAUGCCCAGAGACUCCACCCGAUUCAAACCCUAUUGUCAUCCUUAAUUAACCAUGAGAAUGUGAGACGCGGAGGACCGAUAUGAUGACAUAACAGGCACAGCAUGCCUGCAUGGAUGCAUGCAAAAGGUCUGAUAAUGUAAGGUGCCUUGGCUCACCCACUGAGAAGAUACUGACUUGUACAUUUAAUUUAUUUUAUUUAUAAAAAACAUACAUAAAUCUCACAUACGUAUUACACUGAUGAUACGCACAUGAUAUCUCUAUGAAUGAGACCAGGGGUGGGGUGAAUCUUAGCCUUCAUUAUUGGUGUGGCACGAGCAUGACCACAACGAUGAAAUUUGGCAAAAACCAGUGGACACCUAAUUCAUCAUUGUUGGGACCCCGUGAAAUCCGGAUUUGCUCUGAAUAAGGUUAAGAGCAUCUCCAUCACAUUGAUUUAAAUGCAUCCAUUUUCCUUAUAAAGCAGAAAUAAAGGGAAUUGCAAAAAAUGAGCUCCAUGAGAUCCCUUCUCAAUCCUUUUCUCUAUUUUUUUCUCAAUUCGUCAAAUUCUCUCCUCUCUCUCAAACAACGGGAAACUAAUAGGAUUUUUUCUCAAUCCCCUUUCAUCCCUCCUAUUUCAUUGGCAUAUAUGCGGGCCCUGCUAUACCUGAAUGGCACCAUCGACCGCAAAAUAGAGUAGUUGUGGGUAUAGGCCGCUAUAGCUACUCAUAGAUGAUGUAGAGCUCAAUAUAUAUAGGUCGUAGUCGGAUAUUUUGAACAUUGGUACAAACUCGGUGUGUGUAAUAUUGGUACAUAGGUGUAUUUUACAGCUACAUAAAUUAAUUUUAGCCAUGACCAAAAUCAAUUAGUAGAUGCAGUUUUUGAAAAACCACAUGUACCCAAGGGCCCCAAAUCAAGUAUUUUCUAGAUGAAGGUGUUGCAAGGCACCUAAAAAUCGAUUUCUAGAAUAGAUCAGUAAGGUUGCUCUCCCUAGAUAUCUCACGAACUAUCCUAAAUAUAUAGAUAAUGGUCUAUAUAUACAAUUUCUAGAAUGGAUUGGUGAGGUUGCUCUCCCUAGAGAUAUCUCUCACCAACUACAUCUAGAUAUAUAUCAAAUAAAAUAUGUCCUCUUGUGUUGUCAAGGAUUCAGGCCUAUGACUUCAUGCUUUUUUCACAACAACUAUGACUUCAAGCUUGGCGCGAGCCCGCAAUGGGACACAAUCAUUGGUGACUGAAUAUCGGAUGCUAUUCUUUUAUAUUUUUUUACACGAGGAAUCUUCCCAUUUCCAUUGAUGACCCAAUAUAAUGGAAAUACAACAUUUAAGAGGUUACACAACAAUAUAAGAUGAAUAAUUCACUAGAAUAACCACAAAACAUCAGGCCUAUAUCAGGUGCUACAUAGAGCUAAAUUGAAUAAUACUUUGACAAACCAGGGAACACCUUGCCCAACAGUUAGAGAAAACUAGAUAAUUAAAAAAUAGAGUUUUUCUACAAAGAAAGGCCAUCCAAAUGCCACAAGUGCUGAGGCAGUCAAGCGCCAGUAGGCACCUUUCACCAUCUUCAAUCUUGAUCAUCGUCUUGGUUAUCCUCCAACAUGAGUUGCCAGCUGUGGGGGUAUAAACCCCUAUACCCUUACGGCUAGACUUCGGCCAGGAAGCUUGGCCCAGUACGAGACGAGUUCAAGGCUUGAUCCGACAACCUGGAGUUUCGCGCAAGGAAACAAGAUGGGGAGAUCAAGCAGGAUUCUAGUCGGUUAGAAUAGGAAUUGAUAUCGAAUUAUCCAUGGCAAUUGUAACCGACUAGGAUUAGUUUCCAGAUCUGUAACCCUGCCCUCCGGACUAUAUAAGGAGGGGCAAGGGACCCCCCUAGGACAUCAUAUUCUCUCAGCACAAAUCAAUACAACCAGACGCAGGACGUAGGUAUUACGCCAACUCGGCGGCCGAACCUGGAUAAAAAGCUUGUCCGUGUCUUGCGUCACCAUCGAGUUCGUAGUUUGCGCACCGUCUACCGAUAAACUACUACCGAGGGUAUACCCCAAGGUAGACUGCCGACUAGCUUUCGUCGACAGUGGCGCGCCAGGUAGGGGGUGUGCGUGCAACUUUUCCGGCGAACAAGAUGGUCACGAUCCCAGCUUCCGCGACCGUGCCCGAAGGCCUCACGUUCACCGUCGGCCAGAUCACGUGGACGACGUGCAGCGGCGGCUUCGCGACCAUGGUUCCGAAAGAGAUCCAGAUCCAAUCUGAGAUCACGCCGUCUCCGACCACACGCAUGACGGCACCAAGCUCCCGACCACCGUUCCCACUCUACAAGGGAAAGGAGAUCGACUGCUCGGACCUCCUCCAAGCGCUCGAUCGCGCUGACUCCAAGCUACUCGAAGUCUCCCAACUAAUAGAUGGAGUUCUGGGCCGGCCCGACCAAGCUGCUCGAGCGGAUUUUUCGAAAUCCCGCCGGCCAACUCGUGUCGCCACACACGAACGGCUGGGAACGUCCCUGACGAUAACCUCAACCCCCUCAGGACGAUCCGUCGAGCUCAAAAAGGAAGACUAUCCUUGCGGCCUGAACAACUCGGCCUCUGUUUACUCACAGCAUGUCCAAUCCGUUUUCAGCAAGGCGGGUUGGUCGCCGACAAGGAACAACCGUCACCAUGUCAACAUGGUGACAAUCCGAGAGCUACGGGACGGCCAGGUUUCCAGCACCAACUCAAGCACCGGCUCCGUCCCCACCGAGGUUAUAAACACCGAAGACGAGGGCUACGACCUGGAUUUUCCUUCACACCCUCCGGGUUUCGACCGAUUCCCGAUAUUCCCCCCCCCCCGGCGAGGGGAUAUUGUGUUCAAUGUUAGCGCCGACGAACCGGCUGUUGACGGAGAAACAGAUGACCAGAGGCAACUCCGCGAACAGCGUAACGCCGAUCGCGCCCGACGGCGUGCGGACGAGCAACAACAGAUGCCACCAAGUAACCUCAAUGAUGCCUUUGACAUGGUCGGGGACCAGCCGGUCUACAAAACGCCAAGCGCCAACGUGGCUGUCGCCAUGGCCAACCUGGAUCGGCUUCCUGACACCCCCGAGUGCCAGGGAGUCCGGACCAGCAUCCGAGCACACCUGAUCGCCGUAAUGGGACAGACAGCCACUCUGCUCAAGAGAGUCCAGGACGUCUCUUAUACGGAAGCCGCCUCCGACCAGACUAAUCGUAGCCAGGUCUCACCCAGCAGGCGUCACCGCAGCCGCUCCCCCGACAACAGUCGAGGGGACUCGCGGCGCGACGAUGGUGGUCGGGACGCCGAUGGCCGCCGCAAGCAAAUUCAUGGCGUACGCGGCCAAGAAGAAGAUCAACACAGGGAUCUCCGCCACAACAUCCCUCCCAAAGAUGCCCGGGACCGCAUCAACAGGCGCGCCGCAGAGAGUGCAGUCCACGAAAACCUGCGCCGCAUCGAGUACGAUGCGACCCACGGUCCUCCGGGCCUAAGACAGUUCUCCUCACACCUCCGCCAGGUCGUGUGGCCCCGCAAUUUCAAGCUCGAAAAACUUAAAAAAUACGACGGCAAGGAAAAUCCAGAGAACUGGAUCACUCUCUAUGAAAUCGCCGUCCGAUCAGCGGCAGGAGAUGAGCACGUCAUGGCUAACUACUUCCCCGUAGUCCUCGACCAGGAUGGUCAUCAGUGGCUUCUCGGCUUGCCCGAGGACUCCUUCGACUCCUGGGAAGAGCUACGCCAGGCUUUCAUCGACAACUUCAUCGCCACAUGCGAGCUGCCCGGAAACAAGUAUGACCUUGAAAGGAUAAGAGACAGGAAGAAUGAACCUCUGCGCGAUUACAUCCGACGAUUCUCGGAUAUGCGCCUCAAAAUCCCGAAGAUUUCUCAUGACGAGGCCAUAUCAGCCUUUAUCAAGGGCUUGCGUUUCCAUGAAGCGCUGAGGAACAAGCUGUUGCGUAAGCGCCCAUCAACGGUAGCAGAGCUCCUCGCCACGGCUAAAAAUUACGCCGACGCUGAUGACGCAGAAAAACUAAUCCGAGACGAUGCGAGAGGCCCCGACCAGCCUUCCCGGCGAGAUGACGGUCGUGGUCGCUACGACAACAGAAAUCACCGCCGCUCCGACAACCGCGAUCACCGAGAGGGUUGGGAUCGGCGGCGCGACAGCCGCGACGACUUCAGAGGAAAGCGCCCUCGCGAAUACGACCACGAAGUAAAUACGGUCAAACGUCCCAAUGGACGACGGGACUACCAAGACGACUACAACAAAACGUUGAAGGGACCGUGCCAGCUACACCCAAAGUCUAACCAUACCAUGGAAGAGUGCCGCGUCCUCAAAAGUAUCUAUACACGGCGGGCCGCCCAAGAGGACUCCGCCAAGAAGAAUAACAAGCGCGACGGGCACGACCACGAAGAUGAGGAUGAGGACCAAGACAGGGACCCCCGACACCAAUACGUCAGCCCCACCGACGUGGUCCACUCCAUUUUCGGGGGCAAGGUCUCCACUGAGUCCAAGCGAGAAAGAAAGCUGUUAAAGAGAGCCUGCCUCAACAUAGACAGCACGGACGGGCUGAUCGCAGAUCCGAAAUUUCCCGCGUGGUCCCACAGGGAGAUCUCGUUCAGCAGGAAGGACCAGUGGGCCGCUAUCCCAGAGCCGGGUCGUUUCCCACUGAUUCUUGAUCCCUGCAUCAAUAGCAUCAGAUUCGAGCGCGUGCUCGUGGACGGGGGAAGCUCCAUCGACAUCCUCUUCCGCAACAGCCUGCCCGCCCUCAAGAUAUCACCGGCACAACUAAAACCUUACGACGCCCAAUUCUGGGGGGUUUUGCCAGGUCAAAGUUCGGUGCCCCUCGGACAGAUAACAUUGCCUGUCCAAUUCGGCACACCCGAUCACUUCCGGACGGAGUUCAUCAACUUCGUAGUCGCGGAUUUCGACGGGACCUAUCACGCCAUACUGGGCCGCCCAUCGCUGACAAAGUUCAUGGCAGUCCCGCACUACUCAUACCUAGUCCUUAAGAUGCCCACGGAGAAGGGUGUCCUAACCGUCAGAGGCAACGUCUACACCGCGUACACCUGCGAAGAAGAAAGCUUCAAGAUCACCGAGGCAAUCGACCUCUCAAUCCGCAUGGCGGAAACAGCAAACCAAGCCGCACAGCUGCCUCCCGACCAGCUCCGAUUACCUGAGCAGGAGACAGCCAGAAAGAACUCGAAAUCCAAGGAGUACAAAGAAGUGCAGCUGGUCGAAGGCAACCCCGAGAAGACAGCCCUCAUCGGGGCUAACCUGGAUCCAAAAUAGGAAGACGCGCUCGUCAGGUUUCUAAGGGACAACGUGAGCGUUUUCGCAUGGAAACCCGCAGACAUGCCCGGUGUCCCACGAAACCUGAUCGAGCACUCCUUAAAUGUCUCGAAGACCGCAAGACCAAUCAAGCAAAAACUGCGACGGUUCGCUCGUGACAAAAAGGAGGCUAUUAGGACAGAAAUAACACGGCUUCUAGCAGCCGGAUUCAUAAAAGAAGUGUAUCACCCCGAUUGGCUCGCCAAUCCGGUUCUUGUACGCAAAAAGAGUAAUGAAUGGAGAAUGUGCGUUGAUUACACCGAUCUCAACAAACACUGUCCUAAAGAUCCUUUUGGUCUUCCUCGCAUCGACGAGGUGGUCGACUCAACGGCCGGAUGCGAACUCCUCUCCUUUCUAGAUUGCUACUCUGGUUAUCACCAGAUCUCGCUAAAGGAAGAAGAUCAGAUCAAAACAUCCUUCAUCACACCCUUCGGCGCAUACUGCUACACUACCAUGUCUUUCGGACUUAAAAACGCCGGGGCCACUUAUCAAAGGGCCAUCCAGCAAUGCCUCCACGACGAGAUUCGCGAUGACCUCGUCGAGGCCUAUGUGGACGACGUGGUCGUAAAAACAAGGGACGCGAGCACCCUAAUCGACAACUUAGACCGAACCUUCAAGGCACUCAAUAGGUACAAGUGGAAGCUCAACCCCAAGAAAUGCAUUUUCGGCGUUCCUUCCGGUCUACUGCUCGGCAACGUCGUCAGUCGCGACGGCAUACGACCAAACCCUUCAAAAGUCAAAGCCGUACUCGACAUGCGACCACCGAAAAACGUCAAGGAUAUUCAGAAGCUAACCGGAUGCAUGGCCGCCCUCAGUCGUUUCAUCUCAAGGCUGGGAGAAAAAGGCCUCCCUUUCUUCAAACUAUUGAAAGCGUCAGAAAAAUUUUCUUGGACAGAGGAAGCCGACGCUGCGUUCACUCAGCUUAAGACCUUCCUCACUUCACCACCUGUCCUCACAGCGCCUCAGCCCAAUGAAGACCUACUCCUUUACAUUGCUGCAACCGACAGGGUUGUUUCCACGGCAAUAGUGGUCGAGCGAGAUGAACCAGGUCACGUCUUCAAGGUCCAGAGACCCGUUUACUUCAUAAGCGAAGUCUUAAACGAGUCCAAGGCCAGGUACCCACAAAUACAGAAGCUUAUAUACGCCAUCCUGAUAACGUCAAGAAAGCUGAAGCACUACUUCGACGGCCAUCGAGUCCUGGUGACAACCAGCUUUCCUCUCGGGGACAUCCUGCGCAAUAAAGACGCCAAUGGCAGAAUCGUGAAAUGGGCAAUGGAAUUAUGUCCAUUUUCCCUGGAGUUCCAGAGUCGCACUACUGUCAAGUCUCAAGCCCUGGUCGAUUUCAUUGCCGAAUGGACGGAUCUCAACGAGCCUUCCGUUCCCGAUGUCUCAGACCACUGGUCAAUGUUCUUUGACGGGUCCUUGAACAUCAACGGUGCAGGCGCUGGGAUAUUGUUCGUAUCACCCAACAAGGACAAACUCCGUUACGUCCUUCGGAUCCUUUUUCCGGCGUCAAACAACGUCGCCGAAUACGAAGCAUGCUUGCAUGGCAUACGACUAGCCGUUGAACUGGGGGUCAAGCGCCUCUAUGUCUACGGCGACUCCGCUUUGGUCAUCAACCAGCUCAACAAGGAGUGGGACGCAACCCACGAGAAGAUGGAUCUCUACUGCAAAGAAAUUCGCAAAUGGGAAACUAACUUCUAUGGCAUAGAGUACAUCCACGUGGUCCGGGAUAAGAACCAAGCAGCAGAUGCGCUGUCAAAGUUAGGCUCAUCUCGGGCCCAAAUCCCGCGGGGUAUUUUCGUCCAAGACAUCCAUGAGCCGAGCGUAAGCUCCCCCCUGGUCGACAAGCAACCCACCGAGGCAAUGCUCAUAGAUGACGCCACUCCGACAACCGGUGGACGUGACUGGCGUACCCCGUUCAUCAAAUACAUAUCAGACGGGACAGGCUUUCAGGACAAAGCAGAGAACGAGCGCCUCAUCCGACGAUCAAAGAACUACAUCCUGGUCGACGGAAAACUCAUGCGAAAAAACGCAAGCUCCGAAGUACUGCUCAAGUGCAUACCCCAAGAUGAUGGUAUCAAGCUCUUGGAGGACAUACACGCUGGAUCCUGCGGCAAUCACGCCGCAUCUAGAACGCUGGUCGGAAAGGCUUUCCGAGCAGGUUUUUAUUGGCCAACCGCGGUCGGCGACGCAGAAAAACUGGUUCGGCAUUGCGAAGGAUGUCAGUUUUUCGCUAAGAGGACCCACGUACCUGCCCAUGAAAUUCAAACCAUCCCGUCGUCUUGGCCCUUUGCUUGCUGGGGGCUUGACAUGAUCGGACCAUUUAAACCAGCCCCGGGCAAUUUCAAGUUUGUCUUCGUGUUAAUCGACAAGUUCUCCAAGUGGAUUGAAUACAUGCCCCUGGUCAAGGCAACCUCCGAGAAGGCUGUGGAGUUCCUCAAUCAAAUCAUACACAGAUUCGGCAUCCCGAACAGCAUAAUCACCGACCUGGGCACUCAGUUUACUGGCACCACUUUUUGGGAUUUCUGCGAUGACAGAGGCAUAGUCAUAAAAUAUGUGUCAGUGGCACACCCACGUGCCAACGGUCAAGUCGAACGUGCUAACGGAAUGAUCGUUGACGCCCUAAAGAAAAGGCUGUACACCGAAAACGACAGAGCACCCGGUCGAUGGAUGAAAGAAUUGCCGGCAGUGGUCUGGGGCCUCCGAACCCAGACCAGUCGAAACACAGGGGUGUCUCCCUACUUCAUGGUGUACGGUGCAGAGGCGGUCCUGCCGUCUGACAUACACUUCGGAUCUCCUAGAAUCGAGCACUUCGACCAGGCGACCGCCGACAACGCCAGAGAACUCGAAAUCAAUUGCAUGGAGGAAAAGCGUUUAGUUUCAUGUCUCCGAACAGCAAAAUAUCUCGCGGCAGUCAGGCGGUACUACAACAGGAACGUCAAGGACCGUUCCUUCGCGGUCGGCGAUCUGGUGCUUCGAUGGAAAACAAGCCAGGAGGGAAUGCACAAGCUAUCCACUCCCUGGGAAGGACCCUUCGUGGUGACCGAGGUCACACGACCUACGUCCUUCAGAUUGGCAUACCCAGACGGAACACGGGUGCCUAACUCUUGGCACAUCGACAAACUGCGACGUUUCUAUCCAUAAAGUUUUAAUGACUUUCUUUUGUAAGUAUCUUAUAAUUUUUGAUAAUGAAAUUCUCUAUUUUUUGCCUAUACCUUGUCACACACAGCACUCGGCAAAACUCCUGCAAUGGAUGCUCUUAGCGACAACCAAGACAAAUACGGUGACACGUCACUCAGAUAUUUUUACAGCGCUCAAAACAACAGUCAUGACAAAAAGUAAACUUUAUUACAAACUUUACAUACAAAGUUUACAAUAAAUACCCUGACGGGCAGACACUAGUCUAUUCCUACAGACUACUUUAUUGGCCUAGCUGCUCGGGCUGAUCACCCGCCUGGCCCUGCUGCCCGGACGAAGGGGUCGGGGCCACCAGCGCCUGGCUGGUCGAGACCGCAGGCGUCGACCGCCCAUCUCCCGCAACGGACGCGCCCGACAACUCCCUGGCCGACCUAUCUGCACUCGGCUGGUCUGGAGGAGUGGCCGUUCCGCACAGAUUGAUGUCGCCGAUCACUGUCGACGACAAGUCCAGCAGACUACCCCGAAGCUCGUCCGCGUCCUGCGGGCCGACUUCCUUCGGGUACCCCUUCUCCAGCCUGCUCAAGUCGACCAGGGGGUAGUGGGCGCGCACCAUGCUGAGGACGUGCGCGCCGGCAAACUCCCCGGCGUCCUUCACAAACUGCUGGAGCCAGUCCCACGCCCGUUGCGCCUUCUCGACCGGGGUCAACUGCGGCGCGCGGGGCUGGCUCUCCGGGAGCUCGGGACUGAUCAGGUCUAGGACCGGGGACACUCCUUUCCAGAUCCUGCAACAGUUGACCUUCCAGGAGUCCCGGUCCUUGGUCAGAUCGUCCAGGUGCUUUUUGGCGUUCACCUUGAGCACUGCAAACGAAACGAAGCGUUAUUUUCGGCAUAAAAAAGGGGCAGGCAGUAACCAACAAGGCGGCAACCAUUACCAGAUAGCUCCCGGUCUUUUCGACCCAAUUCCUCUCCUGCUCGCCGCCCGGACUCCAGCGCACCGGCGAGCUGUUGGCUGAGCUGCUCCUUCUCUUGUCGGAGGCUCGCCACCUCCUCCUCCAAGUCUGCGUGAAUCCUAAGCUGGUCAGCAAAGCAAACUAUACAAGUACGCGAAGCUGCUCGGAGCGUGUGACUAACCUUCUUGCAGCCGGUACUGGUCGGCCAAACGACGAGCGAGGUCGAGACGACGCUCCUUUUCGGCACUCAUCUCGACCACCUUCUCCCCGACCUCCGCCCGCAACCGGUCUACCUCCGCGGCAAGGGCCUUGUUCUCGGCCAUGACGCCUUCUAUCUGGUCAAAGCACCGUUUCCGGUACUUCGCCGUUUUCAUUGCGUCCUGCAAAGCAAGCAUAUAACGACCAUGCAAGACAAGGCAAAAGAAUGUGCAGCAGUACAAAAAGCCGCUUACCUUGACUUCGUCGACGAGGCGCUUGGCCGCGCGCUCCACCCUGGCGGCCUCUUCGGUCUCGGCGAGCUCCUCAUGCCCGAUAAAGUGAUCCCCGCGUUGGCGCCACACAUACACGUGUUGGCGGCCAUCACGGGGACGACCCUCGAUCUCUUCCACCUCAUCAUCGGAGGCCGCCCGGGUUUCCUCCUCCUGUGCUGCGUCACCCCCGGUGGUGGUCCCAGGUAUUACUGGCCCUUGGACCAGACCUGGGGAGCCCGCAGCCGAAGAGGCUCCUGCUCGGGGCGGUGUGGGGACUUCACUCCUCCCGGCAGGAGGAGCGGUCGAAGAUCUCCCCUUCUCUGAGGAGUCAGUUGGGGGAGCCUCUCCAGCCCUGGUCGGGCUGCUUGUCGUAGUCGGUGCCGCGCUCGGGAGCUCCUCGGUGCUCCCAGGCGCGACUGCAGCUGUUGCCUGCUCUGUGGUCUGGGGGGCCGCAUCCCCAGAACCGCGGGCAGGCUCGCCCGUUCCCUGGCCGGCAGUUUGGCCGGGGUCGACAUCCGAUGCCGUACUACAGGAACAAAAGUUAAAAAAAAAAGUCAAAGAGGAGUUCAAAAUACGUAAGUCGAACACUUACAGGUCUGACCGACGGUGGGUCGCGGUGAACCUCCUCCUCGCCCGGCCGGUCGGCACCUGCGCCCCCGUCUCGACAACUUGCGGUGCAGGGGCGCCGCUGGCCACUCGAUCAGUAGCGGCCGGCGCAUUAUCUGGGCGACCCCGGGGCCGUCGGACCAACGACGGCGCAGCCUCCUCGUCGUCGUCGUCGUCGUCAACGAUCCGCACGAGCCGACGACGCUUCGGUGCUUGGCUGCUCUCUGCCGGAAGAUCCGCCGGCAGCUCCGGUGUCGGCAAAGGAUCUGCCGGCAAUGGCCUCUUCCCCGCUACCCUCUCCUCGGAGGUCGGGACGAGGCGGGCUUGGUCUUCCUCACUGCUGGUGUAAUGAGUACACCGAGCAGCGUCUUCCUCUGGCGGGACCUCUCCCGCAGGAUUUUCCAUCCCCGGUGCCAGUGAUACAUACACUGUGCACCGGUCAGCAUCGCCGAUCUGCAAAAGCAACAGAGAUGAGUCAACUGCAGACGAUAUACAAAUGCUAAAACAGAAUCUGCUACAUACCUUUGGUGCUGGUCGUCCUAACUUGAAGGCUUGCACCCGAUCACUGCCACGGAUGAAGCCCCCAUCCGCGAAGUUAAACAGCUCGUUCAACAGCUGUUGUACCUCCACUUUCUCCAAGAUCUCCGACCGCAUCCUAGUCGGGUCUGCGCUUCCGGCAUACUCGUACGCCGAGUGCACCCUCUUCUGGCAGGGCAUCACCCGGCGGCAAAUGAAGUUGCCGACCACGCCAAGCCCGUCCAGGCGCGACCAGUCGAUCAGCUUCAUGAGAUCCGCCACUGGACCGUCGAACUCCGGGCGGUCGGUCCAGCUUGUCCUCUUCUCAGGAAUGUAUCCCACGUCGCAGAACGUGGAGCUGCCCGGUUCCUCCCUGAUGUAGAACCACUUCCUGUACCAUUCGGUCAAGGAAGUGUUCCAUGGGCAGUGCAGGUAGCGAUUCUUCAUUCCAUCACGAAGGUUGAGGUAUACUCCACCUGCAACCUUGGAGCCUCCAACUGCUCCCUUCUUCCUCAAGCAGAAAAGAUACCGGAAAAGAUCGAAGUGCGGCUCUAUGCCAACAUAGGCCUCGCACAGGUGGAUAAAGGUGGAAAUGAGGAGAAUUGAGUUCGGGUGCAGAUUGCAAAUCCCGAUCUCAUAAUACAAAAGAAGACCUUGAAGAAAAGGAUGAACAGGAACACCAAAACCCCUCUUAAUGAAAUCUUCAAAUACGACGAUCUCACCGGCGCGAGGGUCGGGGUAGCUCUCCCCCUCCGGUGCCCUCCAGCCGCCGAGCUCCGGGCCGUGCAGAAGCCCCAUAUCGACGAGGUCACCAAGGGAUUUUGUGGUGCUGCGAGACUUCUUCCACUCCUUGGCCAUCAGUUCGGCCCUCUUCCUGGAGUCGCUCUUCGCCAUUAGAGGUGCGAAUGUGGGCUUGAGUUAGGAAGAUGCAGGAGAUUGGAGAAGAUGAGAGCGGAAGGUUUGAAGGCAAUGGCAGCGAAAGCGGUACAGGCGGACCUAUUAGGCUCUUAUAAGCCCGCAACUCCACCUCUCCCACUUCCUGUAUUCUCGGGAAGUGGGCAGGCCAUGCGGCGGACGCGGCGUUUCGGUUUACAAUGAUUAUAGACAAUUAAUGCGGCGGAGUUUUCGUACCAAUUGAUGGUUUCCUUUUCUCAAACCAUGCAAAGGGCGGCUGUACAGUUGUCAGGUGCAACUUUUCAUGCAUCCGUCUGACACCCCGUCAGGAGGCCUCGUCACGUCAACUUUAACUGGAAAGAUCUUUUCAAAAAUAAGAAGACACAUACGCCAGUGAGUCAACAAUCCGGGGACUGCACCGACCACCGAGCACUCGACGCUCGGGGACUGGUCGCCCAGUCUAUCAGCUCGGAACUUCAAGGACUGCACCGACCACCGAGCACUCGACGCUCGGGGACUGGUCGCCCAGUCUAUCAGCUCGGAACUUCAAGGACUGCACCGACCACCGAGCACUCGACGCUUGGGGACUGGUCGCCCAGUCUAUCAGCUCAAAGCUUUAAAGCAUGCACCGACCACCGAGCACUCGACGCUCGGGGACUGGUCGAACGGUAUAGCAACAUAUAAUUCCAAAGAGCACACUUAGUGCUUGGGGACUGGUCGAUUGGUCUUUUCAUUUGCAGACGAGCACGACAUGCUCGGGGACUGGUAAAUUCACUUUUGACCUUGCUACAAGGCUCAUACUUCGCCUUCCAGCAAGCUCGGGGACUACAUCGGUACGAUGCAUCUAGCGAUGCAUCUCAGUCUCAAAACUACUUUGGGGAAUUUUCUUUUGACCCUGGCACCACGUGCCUACGUCACCUACUACCAGGCUCGGGGACUAAGUGGGCACACUUCACCUAGCGGUGAAUUUGCUUGCUUUUUUGAUGUUUAUACCUUUCAAAAAGGUAAAGUGGGCACACUUCAUCAGGAAAGAAAUUUUUUUUAAGAGCACCAUGCAUUCUUCGAACAACCUGCUUCUUCGAUGUCAAUGUUGAUCAACUGUCUUUUGAGUUGGUCAAAAUACCGUUGCAACUGUUCGGACGACUUUCCUGCUUAUUGAAGACGUCAAGCCACACUGAUCGAAGAAGCUCAAGACGGCGUGUUACAUCACAAUACAUGGUGCUCGGGGACUAGCUGUGGGGGUAUAAACCCCUAUACCCUUACGGCUAGACUUCGGCCAGGAAGCUUGGCCCAGUACGAGACGAGUUCAAGGCUUGAUCCGACAACCUGGAGUUUCGCGCAAGGAAACAAGAUGGGGAGAUCAAGCAGGAUUCUAGUCGGUUAGAAUAGGAAUUGAUAUCGAAUUAUCCAUGACAAUUGUAACCGACUAGGAUUAGUUUCCAGAUCUGUAACCCUGCCCUCCGGACUAUAUAAGGAGGGGCAAGGGACCCCCCUAGGACAUCAUAUUCUCUCAGCACAAAUCAAUACAACCAGACGCAGGACGUAGGUAUUACGCCAACUCGGCGGCCGAACCUGGAUAAAAAGCUUGUCCGUGUCUUGCGUCACCAUCGAGUUCGUAGUUUGCGCACCGUCUACCGAUAAACUACUACCGAGGGUAUACCCCAAGGUAGACUGCCGACUAGCUUUCGUCGACACCAGCGUUUCUUCUCUUUGGCAAACAAACUUUGACACAAUCAGCACUGUACUCACCCCGGCCUCCAGGAAGAGACCUGCCCAAUAACCCAUGAGCGAGCAAGCAUAGCAUACAAUUGAAGCAAGGUUAUUCAUUGUUUUUUCUUCAAAACAGAUAGAGUUGCAUGUUUUCCAAAUGGCCCAACAAAUAGCUGUGAUGCCCAAGGUGUGAAAUUGCUUUCGAGUUGGGAUCCAACACUCAGACCAAUUCCAACACUAGUAAAAAGAUUUAGGGAUGCUAUUAGCACCAAUUGCAUAAGCGACAAUAGCCUAUACCGCUUUGGCUGUGGAACAUUGGAAAAACAAAUGUUUGUUCUCAUCAGUGUUACAAAAAUAACAAGUAGGGUAACAAAACAUCUUAAUUUGAUCAAGUUGUCUUUUGUGAGAAUAGCAUUAUUCAUAACAAGGCAUAGGUAACUUUUGAUUUUGGAGGGAAUUUUCCCCUUCUAGAUUCUUCUAUGAUAAGGCCCAAUACCACUAGUUACCACGGCUCUAUAAGUAGAUUUGACACUAAAUCGUCCAUUAUUACCAAAUUUCCAAAUCAUAGAAUCCUCUCCACGUGCAAUCAAUCUGCCUCAAGAUAUUUAGCCAACAAAGCCUAAGGUCAUCAAUAAGCUAUCUAGUGAAAGUCACAUUACUAGAAUCAAAAUUUACAUGAUGAACCCAAAUAUUAGGUUGUUCACACAUUUUGAAAAGAUCAGGGAAUAGAUGGCUCAAAGCUUUAUCAUAAAACCAAGCAUCGUUUCUGAAAAGAGUUUUCCUUCCAUCCCUUACUUUUACUUGUCUACCUUGGAGAUAGACAUCCAUGAUUCUUAAUAGAUCAACCCACAUGGCAGUCAGGUUGCCUGUGAUUCAUAGUACAAAAAGAUUUACCAUUUAAAUACUUAUACUAAAUGAUUUGCUGACCCAUUUCCCCUCUCCAAUUUCCACCACCAUUCAUCUUUCUAAUAUUUUUUAUCCCCAGGCCUCCUUUUUUUCUUAUGCUUACAGAUUUAACUCAUUUAACAAGAUGAUAUUUCAUUUUUGUGCCUCCUCCUUGCUAGUCCAGCUUAUCAAUGAUGGUUUUAGGAAGAAGGUAAAUAGACAUAUGAUAGAUUGAGGCAUUAUUUAGACUAGAAUUGGUCAGAGUUGAUCUACCAGCUAUUGACAUGGAACCCCCUUCCCAUACAUCAAGUCUCUUGGCACUUUUCUAUUCUUUUAUAUUGACUUCUAUGGAUCCUUUUAUUGAAUAUUUUUUGGAGCUGCAAUUUCAAAUCGGCCAAUAUAAAGUUUUAGAUCCCGUCAAACACUAUAAUAUUGGUAUAGAGUAUGUAUUACCAAGUUCGUUUGAAAAAUUCAAGGACAUGAAUUUAAAAAAUCUAUAAACUGAAAAAGUUAUAUUUGAAUCUGAUCUCAAAUAACAAAGGUUAUUGGCUAGAAAGCUUAUCGAGCUUUACAAUCUGAUGACAAAACUUGUCUUUUUCUGAUUUUAUUUGAAAAAAUUAUAAAUCUAUUUUUGUACAACGACUCUCUUUAGAGACAUAUGCCACCAUGCUAAUAACAUCUAUAAGUCGAUUUGUAUACACCAACCCUCUUUAGAAGCUAGUACCUCCAUUUUCAAGGACAAUCGGCGUUACCAACCAUCCCUAGGACUGAUUACAAUCCAGAGCAUCCUUCACCAAACGUUUGUAAAUUGCCUCAAAACUAAGAAAAGAAAAAUACUGUUUGUCUGGGGCUCUGGGCUAUCCAGGGCGCUGCAUUCAUUUGUACUAGCAGAAAUGGAAUAUAUAUAUAUAUAUAUAUAUAUAUAUAGAGGUAAAUUACUUUUUACACGCACGAGUAUCUACUCCGACGUAGCUACACGCGUGAAUUCUUCCCUCUCGCACGGAGCAGGAGCGGGAUUUCAUACCGGAUCAACCCGUUAGUCGUGGUACCUCUCUAUUAUUUUGGGCAGACCCGUGGAAGAAACCAUUUUAAUUUCCUGUUUCUUUUUUAUGCGUCGUCCAGCAGCCUCCCAUCCAUGGAUCCACCGGCGGCGGCGCAAACCUCCUUCCCACCGGCGUCGGCGAGCCUCGCCCUCAACAGCCGCGGCGGGCCUCGCCCCACCCCCAUCGGCGGCAGCACGGUCAGGUCAGCGCGCUCGGUGGCCCUCCUCCUCUAGCAGAUCCAGUCGCGAGCGGCUCGCCUCGUGCCGUCGUGCGGAUGCGACUCGUCUGUGGUGCGGCUCCACCGCAAGCCAACGACGGCAGUUGCCUCUUUCCCUAGCGGAUCCACCGCACAAGGCUCGUCCUCUUCAUCAACUAUGGCGUCAGGGCUCCAUCCCACCACUGAUGGCGGCUCCGGCAUCAGCGGGCAGGCAGCCUUUGGCUGGCGGCAUGGCCAUCGGCGACUGGGGACAGAUCAGGUGGUGCUGACCCUCUUCCCUGAUCAAUGGUGGCCUUCCUUCCUCUGGCUACUACAGCGACCCUUCCUAUGCCAUGGUCUUUUUGAUGCAGGUGCCUUCCUAUGCUAUCGUGUGGCUGCAGCAAGUAUGAAUAUGCACCUCAUCUAACAUAUACUGUGUUUUGUUUUUCUUCAUGCGUUAUGUUUUUGUUUUUGCCUUUUGGAUGCCGAGCGUAGAGAUGGAUCGAUGUUCCACAAUCAUAGUUCAUGCCCACAAAUUUUAAUGUUUUCUGCUGCCUAUAUAUAUCUCGACUUUCUCAUGAAAUUGAAUCUAGCUGCAGAGAGCCAGAGAUGGAGCAGCAAAGGUUUCUGUGCAGUUUAUUUUUUAUUUUUAAGCUUCUUGAGCCAGCAACAUAUGUAUUCGUAUCAAAGUAAACAUGUAUGUACUCAUACUCCAUAUAACCAUGUAUAUAGUUUCAUACUCACAAAGAUGUAUAUACUCAUACUCCCACUGUAUAUGUAUAUGUAUAUGCUCAUAUUCCUUUUGUCUAAUUUGAUGCUUCUAUGUUGACGGAAAUACACAUCAAAGAAAUUUAGCAUGCAGGCAUAUAUGGUGGGUGUCCUCGCUAAUCUCAUGUCAUAGUAUCAGUUACUGUAUGUAUUUAUGUAGUUCAUUUACAGGUCUUGCAAGUUUGGAAUGAUGUAAUGUCAUAUUCUUAUACUCGUUUGCAUAUAUCCAUACUCAAGUUGUUCUCUGCCCACACGUAUGUAUCCAUACUCACAAUAAACAUGUAUGUACUCAUACUCCAUAUAAACAAGUAUGAUUUUCAUACUCAUAAACAAGUAUGAUUUUCAUACUCAUAAACAAGUAUGUUCUGCAUGGCGUAUGUACUAAUACUCUGCCAAAAAAAGUUCUCCACAAACGUACCAAUUUUUGUCCUCGAAAAAAUUAUCUGUGAAAAUACAUACUCUAUAAGAUAAACAUUAAAGUAAUCCUCUGUAUAUGGACAUACUCGAAAUACAAGUGUGCGUCCAUACUCUAUUAAAGUAUACUCAUUUUUUCUUAUUAAAGUAUGCGUUCAUAUUAGAGUAUACUCAAUUUUCUUAUUAAAGUAUGCGUUCAUACUUUACUUGCAGAAAAGAACGUCUGUGAACAAUUGAAUCGCUUUCUUCGUAAUACUUAUCCGGCUAGGCGCUCCCCUAAUUAUUUAUUAAAUAAUAAUAAUAAUAUUCACGUACAACCUGUAUACAUGCAGUUCGCGUAGAUCUUGGAUACCAUAUACAUACUCGUGCUUCGAACCCGUUAGAUCGCUAAUGGGCCGCACCACCCGACGCCAGCUACGUCUGCGGGAUGGCUCGACCCUCCGAUGCGUAUAAUAAAGGCUCAGAGUAGUUACUGGUACGUGUAGAAAAAAAGUGUCAUAUAUAUAUAUAUAUAUAUAUAUAUAUAUAUAAAUUUUCUCUACUUCUUAGGAGUAGUUACUCUCUCUUCUAAAACACAGUAUUAGAUGCCGCACUCCCCUAUCGGGUCACAAAGUCGAACCCGGUAAGUCACAUAUACGUGGACAAACUAUACUCCGGUUAUUCAGUCAUCGAGGAAGCUAAAUCACGUAUACAACGGUGGACAAACUGUUCUCCGGUAUUUCAGCCAUCGAAGAAUUGUUGUUUAAUCAUUAUUAUCCAUUUUCCUUUUCUAGAUUAGAGUAUCAUCUUAUAUGCGUUAAACUAUUUCUACUAGUACAUAGCCAUACACGUAUUGGGAGUUGAUGUGUAUGCAAGUACGCUCAUUGUCUACUAGUACGUAUAAAGAAAGAUGGCCAUACACAUACUCCUAUUGGUACAUGGACGUACGUAACAUAAUUGUACAGGUAUGCAUGCAUACUUCUAUACAUUUAGGUAUAUGGACAUACUUCCUAAUAAAAUACUAUGUACACAUACUCUCCUGUGAAAAAAGUAUAUACAUAUACUCUGAGUAUAAAUACAUACAUGCUUCUAAUUAAUAGUAUAAAUACAUACUCUAAUUAGCGGGCAUACUCCUGAAAUAUGCGUAUGUGAGCAUACUGUGAGUGUGCAUAUGUGAACAUGUAUUUGAACAAAAAAAGGUAUGUCUAUAUACUCUGAAAGUGUGCGUAUGUGAUCAUACUUUAAUUAAUAUACUUAAUAAGUAAUAAUGUAUGUAUAUAUAUAUAUAUAUAUAUAUAUAUAUAUAUAUAUAUAUAUAUAUAUAUAUAUAUAUAUAUAUAUAUAUAUAUAUAUAUAUAUAUAUAUAUAUAUAUUCCUUUGUACACGUACGUGUAGUUACUCUCAUCUUCAAUAAACUACAUUGUGUAUGUAUUCAUACUUUUUUAUCAGUUUGAGUAUGUUUGUAUACUUAUAUUAAGAUACUUUAGAUCUUACCACGCGAAAUUUUUUUAAAAAAAAUUAUAUUUUAAAUAUAUUACUAAAAUGCCACUACUAUAUUAUAUACAAUAAGUAUAUCCAUAUACUCUAUGUAUGUAUACGUUAUAUAUAUAUAUAUAUAAACGUACGGCCCUAUAUUGGCCGUAUCGAGUAAUUACUCAACGCUUCUCCUAAUUGGCCGUAUCGAGUAAUUACUCGUAUAAAAAACUCACCAUAUAUAUAUAUAUAUAUAUAUAUAUAUAUACUACAUAAACGUACGGCCCUUUUUUUUUAAAAAAAAAAAUAUCCAACCGAUCAACCUGCUUGAUCCGCUUUCUAUGGUCAGCAUGCAUCACCCGUUUUUUUUCUCUCACCCGCUAGCUACUCAACGCUUCUCCUAAUUGGCCGUAUCGAGUAAUUACUCGUAUAAAAAACUUAUAUAUAUAUAUAUAUAUAUAUAUAUAUAAGUCAAAAGUGAGCAGAAAAAAUACUGAGCAAUACUAAACAACAUUCAGUAUCAUCUAGUCGUACACCUAGGACCGCGAAAUACUGAAACACGAGUACUUAACAAUACUGAAUUUUGUUCAGUAUAACAUUUUGGUGUAGAAUAGCACUUGUGUGUAUAUAUAUAUAUAUAUAAUAAUAAUAAAGCACAAUUAUUUAUCUUCCUUUUGCACUAUGUAACAAUCUUGGGUCAAUGGAACCAUGAAUGCAUUCCUCCCGUCUCGUCUUUCAUGCCUCGUCGGAUCGGGGAAUCAGGUCAUGUCCUAUUCUGCGUCCGCCAACACCUUUUUCCUUGCAUCUGCACUGCACUGCACUGCUACGUACAGCGUGUGCUAUAAGCAGCAGAGGGAGUUUCUUCGAAAUUCUAUGUUCUGAUAAAAUGUGUCUCACAAAGUUGUAGGGCAGUAUAUCAGAUGCCCCGAUGCGCUCAUUAUUGGGAGUGUGUGUGAUCUGAAAGUAGGCUCUAGAAACAUCAGUGGAAAGAGCCAAAGAUUAGCAUAGACAAUUAUAUUCUUUCCGCACAAAGAAACAUCAUAUAUUAUACACAUACGUGGAAAGAAAUAUGAAAUUUAUUUUGGUUCCAAACUAGAACUUGUUUGGCUACAUUCAAAUAUACCCCGAUUUUACAUAGUUUGGGAGGAACUGAAUUGUUAUGAGUUAAACUCAUUAUGUUCAAGUAAAAAUAAAAAAAUGUUUGGUUCAACCUACUCCCCAGUUCCAAAAUAGGGCCUUGUUUACUUCCCAGAAAAUUUUGCAAAAUUUUUCAGAUUCCCCGUCACAUCGAAUCUUUAGACGUAUGCAUGGAGUAUUAAAUAUAGACGAAAAUAAAAAUUAAUUGCACAUUUUGGUCGGAAUUGACGAGACGAAUCUUUUGAGCCUAGUUAGUCUAUAAUUAGACAAUAUUUGUCAAAUACAAACGAAAGUGCUACAGUGUUCAUUUUACAAAAAAUUUUAGAACUAAACAAGGUCUUGGUGACAUUGCUUCCCGUAGAGUCAAACUCUUUUAACUUGACCAAAUAUACUACAUAAUUAAUAUCAUUUUUCAUAAUAAACUUAUUUGAAGAUAUAAGUGUUGCUAAUAUUUUUUAUAAAUCUAAUUAAAUUUUAAAAAAGUUUGACUGAUAUGAAUACCAUAACAACACUUAGUUUGAGACGGAGAAAGUACACACUAGUCAGUACACAUCACCAUCACCGCCAACUCAACAUUGGUCUCGAGUGUUUAUUUGAGCCAUAUAUGUAAGCUUCCCCAUAGAGAUUUUUUGGAGCUAUGUACAAAAAAAAAUGUAAUAUGUACCAUUCAUCGACAGAGAUGGAACGAUGAAAAAAAAAAUCAAAAGCACUAAGAAAAAGAUAAAACUAAAAGUGGCUAAAGUAUUGAUAGCACUUUUCAACCACCGUAACAAAGACUAAUAGUGCCAUGUGGAUACAUCCUUAUUCCAUAAUUUUUUUGGUUGAUGAGCUAUAUGAACUCUGGCCAUUCCGAUCGUCAGAAGGACUAGGGAAUUUUUAAAAUCCUUAUGCAUCCUACAUAUAGGAUAUGCAUAGUAAUUUGAUUUAUUAAAAUGUGCUCGACUAGGUGGCAGCCUCUUGUGCGUGGCCUAGUGCCGCGGCCGCAUCCGAUCCGCCGAGUACCGGCAAAUCUGCGUGGGCCAGGCCAAUAAUGCGAGGCCCUAGCUACCGGCGUGUUACAUGCAUAUUGCACUGAUCAUGACUGAUUUGGUCUGUACUAGCAGGCAGCUCAGGCCUUCUUUAGUAGUUCCAAAAAAUUUUGUAAAAUUUUUCAGAUUUCCCGUAACACCGAAUUUUUAGACAUAUAAAUGAUAUAUUAAAUAUAGAUAAAAAAAUUAAUUGCGCAGUUUGGUUGGAAUUAACGAGACAAAUCUUUUGAGCCUAGUUAGUCCAUGAUUGGAUAAUAUUUGUCAAAUACAAACGAAAAUGCUACAGUAUCGAUUUUCUAAAAUCUUUUAGAACUAAACAAGGCCUCACCCAAAAGCCAAAAUGUUUUUAAGAUUUUUUGUUAAAUUGAAUGUUACAGUACAUAUAUGAAGCAUUAAAUAUAAACGAAAAUAAAAAAUAAUUAUAUAGUUUUCCUGUAAAUUGUGAUAUGAAUAUUUUAACCUUAGUUAGUCUAUCAUUGGAAAAUAUUUACUACAAAUAAACAAAAAUACUAUAGUAACAAAUAACUUUUCGUUUCGGACAACUGAACAAGACCUUAGUAGAGAGCACAGUAAUCAUGCGCUUUUUGACGUUCACUGUUUUGAGUUUCCUCUGCUUUUGAGAAAGCCGUAAAGGGGCUAUUUAGUUAAGCCGUGUUUAUAAGAUUCUCCGUCACAUCAAAUCUUGUAACACAUACAUGACGCAUUAAAUAUAGACGAAAAUAAAAACUAAUUACACAGUUUGCCUGUAAAUCGCGAGACGAAUCUUUUGAUAUUGGAUAAUAUUUGCCACAAACAAACGAAAGUGCUAUAGUAGCAAAAUCCAAAAUUUUUUCGGAUCUAAACAAGGCCUUAGUGAAAAAUUUUGUAAAGUGUAAACGUAGUAUUUUUGUUUCUAUUUGAUAAUUAUUAUUCAAUAUGAAUUAAGUAGACUUAAAAAAUUCGUCUCGUAAAUUACACGUGAAGUAUGCAAUUAAUUAUUUUUUAUCUAUAUUUAAUGUUCUAUAUAUGUGCCGUAAGAUUUGAUGUGAUCUAAAGUCUCGAAAAAAUUUGCAAAAUUUUUGGAACUAAACAGCCCAAAGUUAUCUGUCAAGGUACAGUGGGACACCAGCUUACGCGAAAAAUAUUACAGGUCUUAAUCAUACACUAUCCUGUCACAAUUACAUUCCACCAAAUAUCUGUAACAGGGCAGGUAGCUGGUUUGAAGCCUUUCAUCUAGUCGAAGACGAGAUCUCCUUGAUCUCAUCCACGCUUUCUUUCAACUUUGGCUUAAGUAGGAGAGACCACUUCUACAAAAAAUGGUAGAGUCGAAAACAUGACGUGAGAAGGGUUGUUCGGUAAAUUCUUCUGAAUUGCCAUCUUCUUUCUAGCACUUCUAAUUUAGGCCUUAUUUAGUUUGUAAAAAUUUUCAAGAUUCUCUGUCACAUCGAAUUUUUGGUCACAUGCAUGGAGCGUUAAAUAUAGACGAAAAUAAAAACUAACUGCACAGUUUAUCUGUAAUUUGUGAGUUGAAUCUUUUGAGUUUAGUUACUCCGUGAUUGGACAAUGUUUGUCAAAUAAAAACGAAAUACUAGAGUAGCCAAAAACAAAAAAUUUUGCGAACUAAACAGGACCUUAGGCCCUGUUUAGUUCUCCACCCAAAAAUUUUUCAUCCAUCCCAUCGAAUCUUUAGACACAUGCAUGGAACAUUAAAUGUAGAUAAAAAAAUAAACUAAUAACACAGUUUAGUUGAGAAUCGCGAGACGAAUCUUUUAAGCCUAGUUACUCCAUGAUUAGCCUUAAGUGCUACAGUAACCCACAUAUGCUAAUGAUAGAUUAAUUAUGCUUAAUAAAUUUGUCUUGCAGUUUCCUGACGAGCUAUGUAAUUUGUUUUUUUAUUAGUCUGUAAAAACCCCUCCCGACAUCCUUCCGACAUAUCCGAUGUGACAUCCAAAAAAUUUUCGUUCCCAAUCUAAACAGGCCCUUAGUACAAUCGCAGCUUGUAGUUGCCAUGAAAAGACUUUGGGCCUGUUCCCUUCUAAUUUAAGUGGGUUGUUUGGGCUGCCGGCUGCCGCUGAACAGCCCAGCUGUUCGGCUGCAUGCCUGCAGCAUGUCCCGCUCCGUGCAGCUUCUUUCCUCUUGCUAUCUGCUGCAGCUUCUACAAUGUUGAUGGGCCGGGGUAGCUCCUGCAGCUGCAGCCAGCUGCCAUUUGAUUUUUAUAGAAAUCCUACAUUUUCAAAUACAAUUCAAACUCCUGCGUUUGUCGCCCAAUCGGCCAUUCCUACAAUUGCCCUGUACUCCGAUCUUCUUGAAAGGCGGUGUGAAUUCUCAAGUCCUCGAUCCUCGUCCUAUUUCAUUCUCGGUAGUCAAUGUUUGGGUUCGAACAUCAUGCCUUCCAGUUAAUUAUUCCAUCAAUUCCUGCCAUGGAUUCCUUUCACUCUCUUUAGACCAAUUUGCAGCCACCGUCGACACUGGCCUAUCGAUAUUCUGUACAACAAAUCAGAAAUAAGGAUGUUUUUUUUGAGGAAACUGGAGAGACCGAGGCCUCUACAGAGAGUUUAUUAAAACUGAAAGAACAAGUCAAUAGAGUACAAGAAGAGAGAAAAACAGCAAAGAGGUGCAGGCACCCUACAACUCAGGAAACAAAAAAGAAAACAAAAAAAUCAGCUCUAAACAUCUUGGACUUCUAGACUUUGUAUCCAUGAAGAAAACUGUGGUAAAAUGGAUGGCUUCACUCUAUGCUGCAGAAGAGAUAGCUCCUUUAGGAAGAUCCUUCGACAAUUCAAAAUGCUUAUCCGAACCCCAUUGAAGAUUAACUCGUUUCUCACAUUUCAAAUUGCCCACGAACGCAGAAUGAUAGCAUCCAAGGCAAAUGGGGAGGCCAACUGAUCUUUUAUUUGAGCAAAGAUGUCUGAAUAGUACACUGAAGAGGAAUGAUCACAUUGAUGAGGUCCCAACACAUAGCUGUGAAUGGACAGUCCAGAAACAAGUGCUCAAGUGUUUCUUCUAUCAGGCUGUUGCAAAAGACACAAUUGUAAGAAUCAAGCUGUAAAUUGCUCCUUCUGAGAAAGUUUCUGGUGCUCAGUCUAUCCUUGAUGAGAAGACAAAAGAAAACUUUGUGUUUCGGCUAGCAAUUACUUUUCCAAAGCCAUUUGUAGACUGGAUGAAGCACCGAGUGGCCAACCAGUAGGCGAUAGACCUUUGAGGGAGCAAAAUGGUCAGAGCCCCAACUGUAAAUCCACUUAUCUUGUCAUUGCUCAGCACAAUGCUCUCCAUGAUCUGCUGAACAUUCUGCAACUGCAAGAAGGCCGUCUGAGAGAGGGGGAGCUGAAAUAGGGAGGAGAGUUCAUCUUGUUCAAAGGCCCUUUUCACUGAGAUCUGCUUAUUGAGAGCAAAAGAGAAAAGCUUAGGGGAUGAAUCAAGAAGGAGUUGCUCAUUAAGCCUGGGCAUUCGGAUUACCUGAUUUUUUCGGGUCGAGUAGUUCGGGUAAUUUAAAAUUUGGGUAACAAAAAUUGUUACCCGAUAUUAGUAAAAAAAACACUACCCGCAAUUUCAGGUACCCGAUAAUUCGGGUUCGUGUUGGGGUAUUCCCGAUUUACCCAAAUUUUCAGAAAACAACACACUAUACAAAAUUUCAAUAGAAAUUUAUAUAUAAUUUCAGCAACAAUUUGUAUAGAAUUUGAAUAGCAUUUUGUAGAGAAUAAUAUAUUACUAUCAGUUGUUCAAACAAAGAGAAUUAUGUUCUAAUAAAUUGAUAAGUUUUAAUAUUUAACUAAUAACACAUGAUAAAUACAAAGAUAUAGACAAAUAUUUGGGUAAUUUGGGUAGUUCGGGUACCGGGGGAUACUACCCGAAUUACCCUGGGUAAUCAAAAUUGCUAUCCGAAUUUAGGAUCGGGUACCUCGGGUUCGGGUAAUUCGGGUCCGGGUCCAGGUAAUUCGGGUACGAGUAAUGGAUAUUGGGUAAUUUGCCAGGCUUAUUGCUCAUGCCAAGCAUCAUGCCAGAAAAAAGAGGAAUCCCCAAAAUGCAAUUGUGGCUUAGAAAAGCUUUUAAAGGCUUGAAGAAGCAUUGGGUUAUCUCUCCACUAGAAAGACCCCUUUUUAUGUGAUUUGGCAAUUUUUCAUUUAUAUAAUGCUUUUCCAAGAUUAGCUCAACCCAAGGAACAUCAGCCCUGUUGAAGAAUUUAUGCAGAUUUUUUUGAGAGGAGGGCAUUUUUCUGCUUCUCAAUGUCAAUGACACCUAGGCCCCCCUCAUCCUUUGGGGGCACAAACCAUCUUCCAAGUAGCUUUAGGCAUUCUCUUAGGAUUAAUAUCUGAUACCCUCCAUAGACAGUGCUCCCUAAAUUUAUCAAUCUGCUUGAUGACCCCCUUGGGCAAUUUCAGGGUGCACAUGAAGAAAGUUGGGAGGGCUGAAAACACAGCAUUAGUCAUUUGGAGCCUCCCAGCAAGGUUCAGAAAGCUUGAAAUACGAAAGAGUCUCUUCUCACAUUUAUUUAUCACUGGCAGAAAGUCUUAGGCCUUGGGUCUCUCUAUAUUAAGGGGGAGCCCCAGAUUGGUGAAGGGCAGACUCCCCUUGGAGCAUCCAAAAGUAGCAGCUAGGGUGUCUAACUUUGCAUCAGAAAGGUUUAUAGGGACCAUCAUGGACUUGUUGAAGUUAACUUUCAGCCCAGUAAACGUGGAGAAGCUGUUGAUCAGAUAUUUCAUGAAGAACAAUUGCUUGACAUCCCCUUCCAUUACAAUCAAAGUGUCAUCAGCAUAUUGGAUGAUAGGAAAGUCACUGGUAGAAUUCAGUGAGGAUAGGCAGCCUGAGCAAACCCAUUUGUAAGGCCUUGUUGAUCAUGGAUUGGAGGAAAUCUGCUGCAGUUACAAAAAGAAGGAGAGGGUCCCCUUGCCUGACACCCCUCUUGCAGUGAAUAGUUUUACUAGGAACACCAUUUUAAAGUACAGUAGAGGUCCCUGAGGAGAAGAUAGAGUCCGUCCAUUGUAAUCAUUUUUCUCCAAAGCCCAUGGCCCUCAUGAUUGUAAUCAUAACAUGGUGUUCAAUCUUAUCAAAAGCCUUCUCAAAGUCCAGCUUAAUGAUCACAAUCUCCUUCUUAGAGUGGUGGCAGAGAUGCAGAUAUUCAAAUGCCCAGCCCAGACAGACCUGAAUAGUUCUAGACUUGAUGAAUCCAUACUGAUUCUUAUGAACCAGGGAGGUGAUAUGCUGCUGAAGCCUGAUGGCCAGAAUUUUGGUGAUGAGUUUUAAUGAAGAAUUGAGUAAGGAGAUUGGCCUGAACUCAUUGAUCAAACAAGCAUUGUCCACCUUAGGAUUAAGGGUAAUAAAUGAGGAUUUGAUGCUUCUAAGGCAGACAGAUCCAUCAAAGAAGUCAUUACAGAGCUUAUAGAAGUCAUGCCUGAUAAUUGGUCAACAUCUUUUCAUAAAUUCAUUGUUGAAGCCAUCUGGGCCUGAAGAUUUAUCAUUUGGAAGACUUUUAAUCACUGAUUGAUUUCUUUUUCAAGACGACAGAUCAAUAUUCUUGUGCACAAAGAUACUAGGAUCAACCACAAAGCUGUUCAAAUCUGAGGUACCCAAUCUGUCCUUGUAAUCUUCCCACAACAUCUUUUCUUACCAGAGUGAUCAUUGACAAUAGAUCCAUCGGUCUUCAGGAGUUCCCUGAUAAGAUUACCUCUGUGCCUAAUGGUUGCAUUGGCAUGAAAGAGGUAAAAAAAGUUUUCUAUCUAACAUAGAGAGCCUGUUUGGUUCACAGACAUACUCCACCACACCACAUCUGAGAUGGCGCCACCAAAAUGGGAGCAAUUGUUUGGUUGGCGACGCAUACAUGGCAACAUAAAAACUCGCUGAAGAAGCGUCGAGGAAUCUCAUCAUAAGGUGUGCGCCAAAAAACUUCGCUAAACUUGUGGCACACCCCACCUUUUUUUAAAAAAAAGGGCUGGACGGGCAGAAGCCCCUACAGAAAUUUAUUGAAAAAAAGAAAACAGUUGGUCCAAACAAACAACUAAACAACCAGACAACUAACUAAACGGUAGCUGGCAUCCAUACCUUCACUUGGCGAGCGGUAGCUGGCAUCCAUACACGCUCAUAUACUUAGCUCACAAAAUUCUGUACCAUGCUUGUGAUAGAAAUACAACAUACAACUUGUUGCGUGGUACCUAGACAAGUUGUGGUUCUAACAUUUAUACAAUGAUCGUGUCAUGCAUAUAUGUAUUGAUAUGUCUUGAAAUUGAACUCUGAUAAACGAAUUAUGUAAUCGAUAUUUGACUUGUAAACAAUCUAAAAUGGGAAAAAUUUUGACUACAAAGUGUUAAAUUUUAUCGAGCACUACAACUUUGAUAUAGGAGAUGUCUCCAUCUAAGGUAAAUUAAAAAAAUAAAAUUUAUAGUUCAAAAUCUAAGAACUUAAUAUUUACAUCCGGGCUCCUAAACAAUCUCGAAUAAAAAUUCAAUCAACUAUAAAGUUUUAGAUCUCAUAGAGCUCUUAAUUUUCGUAUAAAUUUUUGUCUCCAUCCAACUUCAUUUGAAAAAGUUUGUACUAUAACUAUUUUUAAGGGCAGGGGCAGUAUAUUUUUAUAGGUGGUUGGCAUAAGACUGAAAAUCAUAUGUUCAGAAGUGGCUCUCUUAAACAAACCAUCCAUAAAAAUAGAUGUAUUUCUAAUGACGAUUUACUUAAUAGAAACACCCCUAAAAAUGUAUUUCCAUGGGUGGUUUAUAAGCUACGGUGCUCAGUUAGUUAUAAACGGUUUGAUAAGUAAACUAUUCCAGUAGGAGGCAUCUUAAAAAAAAUCUUUUUUUACUAGUGUAUGCACUCAUUGGAAGUAUCAUUGGGGUCACUAGAGGCUUUCGGUGCCUUUCUAGACUAGCCAUUGGAACUAGCCGUUAGGUCGCCCUUUAUUUGGCAUCCAACAUCCAGUGCCACCGGAGAUUUUUGGUGAGCUUACAAUUUUUAACAAAAUAUCACUGAAAUUUCUGAAACAUAUUGUCUUUUUCUCAGAUUUUUCUUUAUCAGUGAGGUAUGGCAGCCCGUUGUAUUAUCGUGAUGAUAUGUUGUGUUAUUUUCUCAAUGUUAUAUAAAUUGUGAUGGAUUAAAGAAUUUUUCAAGUGAAGUGAUAUCAAUUUUUUUUAAAAAAAUUCAAUUCAAAUUUAUUUAAAUUUGACCUAAUAUUUUUUAAAUUUCAUGUUCACCUUGGUGAGCACUGAUGCUCUUGGAUUCACCUCUGUAAGCCCAUCGGAGAUGCUCUGUCGUCCUCCGGUGCACUUCAUUCACCGGACUUUUCCGGUGCCUUAUGCACGACUCUGCAUAUUCUCUGUUCUGCACCUAUUUCUUCGAUGCCUCUACUUCAACUCACUAGACAUUUCUGGUGAGAUCUUCCCUUCUCUAUAGAUUAGUCCUGCACGCGUAUUUUCUGCUGUGUUAGUCCUUGGGGACCACCGAAUAAUUCUGGUGAAGGCUGUCUGUAUUCAUUUUGAUCCUUCUCUUCAUCUCUUCACUUCCGGUCUUGUUCAACUUGGUGUUAUGGACAUGUAGCAUAUGUCAUGUAGGUUUUUAACGGCAGCCCUAAUGUGUUUGUUUGAGCCUUUGAGGUGUUGAUCGCUCCGAUCUUCAUGAUGCCUAAUUCCAUGCCAACCGCAUCCAAUGAAUUAAACCUAACAGUUUUUUCGGCUCCUGAUUAGAGCUGUUGUAAAAAAUAUCUAGCAUAAGCCCGCUGGUAAGGGCCACUAUGCAUAGAAUUUAUAAACAAUAACACCAAUCCGUUAGUGUGUGCUUGUACCAGUGCUCGUGAGCUGCACAUUUAUUAAUGUGCUCUAUCUUCGUGUUCCCGUUUGUACUAGCAGCAUAGAGGCUAGAGUGUGGUAUGCCCACAUUCACCAAGUUCCCGGAACGAUGGGGUCAUGGAAUGAGGAACGCUCUUUGAGAAAGGAUUUUCUACUGUCGGAACGAAACUGAUCUACGAUCCCGGUGACUCAUGUGACUGUGGGUAUGCGUAUGUCUAGUGCAAUGCGUUAAUAAAUUUUAAAGAUGUGGAACGGGUUCACUUUUACACCCUCUAUUAAAAAUAUCGGUUGUUUAAGCUUUGUCCCAAGUGAAAUUAAACUUGGGUAUCUUUAACUUUACAUGAAAAAUAUAAUAAUAUCUAAAGCGUUGUAUUAAUUUAUUCCUUAAAUUAUGUCUUAAUUGGUCAAAGUUAAAGAGAGUUUUAUAGUUAUUAGGACAAAACCAAAUUGGAAGAAACCUGCAUUUACAAACAUGGGCAUUACCGAAACACAACAGAACCAAGCGUAUCUAUCUUUUCUUUUUGAGAACAUUAUUCCGGAUAUCUUCAUUUUUUUUAGAAAAUAAAAAACUUCCGGCCGGCCUCUGCAUUACAAUUUACAAUGUUAUCAGCUUAUUGUUAAUCUCUUCAAUAGUUCAACCAUUCUUAUUGGAAUGCAACUAUGUUCAAACACAAAACCAACGGCAAGCAGUAAAAGCGAGACGAUAACAUGGAGUUAGUUAUUAUUAAUCAAACACGGAGGGCAGAUAACAGUUAUCGGAAAGAAGUUCAUCUCAAAGACUCAAACAAGCAGACGGAAAUCGGCCAUUGGAUGAUCACACGCAGCUCGAAUUUGCGUUGCUUGUCGUCCUAGCUUAGCCAAUGUAGUACAAGGGGUCGGGCAGCUUGAAGGUGCGGGCGCCCUCCGGUGCGCCGAGGAUGUCGCUCCACUGGUCGCCGAUGUUGCCGACGAUGACAUAGCCUCCGUCCUGGAGCUUCUGGCGUUCACCGGACUUGAAGCCAAUGGCGGUGCCCUUGAAGCCGAUGGGGUUGAGCAGCAGCUUCUCCCAGCCGGAGUAGCCCUGGCGGCGGUGGUUGGCCACGGUGAUGGCCCUCUGGUCCUCGGUGCGACCCGUCAGGAGCACCGGCUUGAUGCCGAGCGAGAUGAGCUUGUUGAAGAGCCGCAGGUACUCGUUGAAGUCUCCGGCAGCACCGGUGCGCUGCCCUCCAGCACGUACUCGUUGAAGCUCGUGGCGUUGUACGGCUUAGUACUGUGAUCAAGAAAAGAAACACGCUGAUUAGCUAGGGCUGCAGGUUGUUAAACGUAUAGUUUAGUACUAUGAGUGGUAUGUAAAACCAUCUAGUCAUUUAUGUAUCCUCUGGUUCGAACUCUACAUUGCUAGUAGUUUUUUUUCCCUGAGAUGUGAAUGUGAUUGCUACUGGGGCAGAGAAAUUUUGCUUUUCUCUGCUGUGGACUUUCCCUGAAUGGAAAGCAGGUGAGCCGUAUGCCCGUAUCUGAUUAAUUGAUGGACUCUUUCUUAAAUCCAACGUGGAGCAGAAAAAAAAAGUAUAGCAAAAAAUUUGCAUUAUUAGGUCAGUCUCAAUGGGAGUUUCAUUUGCAUUAAAUAGGUUGCCACAUAGGCUGUUUUGAUGACAUGGCAGUGUAUUUAAGAAGAGAGAGAAGAAAUGAGUUUCAUCUAGAUGAAACUCUCUUCGCACGAUUACCAACUCUCUAUGAGUCUUGGAAUUAAAUGCUUAUGAAACUAUGAAAUGAAACUCUCCAUUGAGAGUGGGUGUUUCAUUCAAGUUUCAUUUUAUUUCAUAUGACAUGACAGUCUUGGAAACAACGUCAUGAAACUCUCCACUGAGACUGGCCUUAUUAUUAUUAUUAUUAUUAUUAUUAUUAUUAUUAUUAUUAUUAUUAUUAUUAUUAUUAUUAUUAUUAUUAUUAUUAUUAUUAUUAUUAUUAUUAUUAUUAUUAUUAUUAUUAUUAUUAUUAUUAUUAUUAUUAUUAUUAUUAUUAUUAUUAUUAUUAUUAUUAUUAUUAUUAUUAUUAUUAUUAUUAUUAUUAUUAUUAUUAUUAUUAUUACUACUACUACUACUACUAUUAUUAUUAUUAUUACUAUUAUUAUUAUUACUAUUAUUAUUAUUAUCUUAUUGUUGUUAUUAUCUUAUUGCUGUUGUUGUUAUUAUUGUUCUUGUUAUUGUAAUUGUUUAUUAUCAUUGUUAUUAUUAUUUUUAUUAUCAUUGUUGUUGUUGUUGUUGUUGUUGUUGUUAUUGGUACUACUACCACUAGUACAAAAAUCAUUUUUGCUGGCACGUUUUUUUUUUCACAGGCGGUUCACAAUAUCUUGGCGCUAGUAGAAAAAUUUCAGCGGGCCCAACAAGAGAACCGCCUAUGUAAACACGUUUACACAGAUGACCUUCUUAAUAAAACCGCCUGUGUAAACUUUCCAUUUACACAGGCGGCUUACGAUAAAAACCGCGUGUGUAAAUACCAUUAACACAGACGGCCGAGUUACGGCAACCGCCUGUGUAAAUGUGUCUUUUUACACAGUCUGUUUGUAUAGAGGACCGCAUGUGCUAAUGUAUUUACACAGACGGCCCUCUUUAUGAGCCCCCUGUGUUAAGUCUGCUAUAAAUACCCUUCGUCUACCUCCACACAAGAACAGUUACUCCCAUGAGCUCUCCACACUGGCGAACCACACGAUUCCAGUUUCCAAGGGGGGAGGUUUUGAUCUUCAUUUCUUUGGUGAGAAACUUCUAAAAGGUUAGUUAGAGCCCUUGAUGCUAUUUUUUUAGUGAUUCUUUGGUUCAAUUCUUGUAUUGGAGGUGCUCUAGAUCUAGAGUUCAUGAAGCAUUCUUGCUUAGGGUUAGGGUUCAUAGGGCAAGAGAGAGAGUUUUAGGUAAAUUUUUAUGUAAAUUCAUAGUAAAUUGUAAAAAUUAAAAAAAAAAUAGAAAAUAAAUACUUUUUAGAAUUCUUGUGAGUAGAUCUAUACAAUAGAGUAAUGAUGAGGACAUUUUGAAGUUUAUAAUUUUGAUUCAGUUUUAGUUUUUAUUUUUUCAGAUGAAUUAGACUUUAUAAACUCAAACAUUAAAAUGCUGAAAAUCAUAAAGUGGCAAAUAAAUACUUUUUCAAAUCUUUGUGCGUAAAUACUUUAUAGAAAUCCUUGAAUUAUUCCUAAAUUUUAUACAAUUGUUUCUUAUAAUUAUGAAAAUGAGUUUAAACAAUUAUUUAAAUUCCAUAAAUUAUAAACUCUGUAAGGGGUAGGUUUUCAUCUCUGUUUAAUAGAAGGAGGUUAGUAUCAUAGUUAAGUCUUUUUUCGGGGGUUAUAUUAGUUUUGUUUUUAGAUUGACCUACAUUAAUUGUUCUUAACUAAUUACAGCUAAAUAUAGAGAGAUCAUUAUGGAUGUACAACUUAUCAAGAUUGGACCCAUCAUAUGUAGUGGAGGUCCAAAAAUUUAUUGAUGUCGCAAAGAUACAUGUUCGCAGAACAAAGGCGAAGCACAUAUGUUGUCCAUGCGCAGACUGUAAAAAUAUUGUGGUAUUUGACAAUGUAGAAGCAAUUACUUCCCAUCUGGUUUGCAGAGGAUUUAUGGAGCACUACUUGAUUUGGACAAGACAUGGUGAGGAUAGUUCUGCACCUUAUAUGCGGACAACUGACAACACUGCAACUAACAUCAAUGUGGAGGGUCCAAUGCCACCUCUCAAUGAAUUUCAUGCUAUGCCAGAUGUCAAUAAAACUCAUACGUCUGAUAUCAAUGAAACUCAGCAUGCUAACAUAGAUGCUGUUGAAGAUGCAGAUUUCUUAGAGGCAAUAAUGAACCGUUGUGCAGAUCCAUCAAUAUUCUUCAUGAAGGGAAUGAAAGCAUUGAAGAAGGCAGCAGAGGACACUUUGUACGACGAGUCGAAAGGUUGUACCAAAGAGUGGUCGACAUUACGUGCUGUUCUUCAGUUUUUGACGGUGAAGGCUAGACAUGGUUGGUUUGAUGCUAGCUUCAAUGAUUUUUUGCAUGUACUUGGAGACCUUCUUCCUAAGGAGAACAAAGUGCCUGCUAACACAUACUAUGCAAAGAAGCUAGUCAGUCCACUUACGAUAGGUGUUGAGAAGAUCCACGCAUGUAGAAAUCAUUGUAUUCUAUAUCGGGGUGAUCAAUUUAAAGACUUAGACAGUUGUCCAAACUAUGGUGUUAGUAGAUACAAGACAAACAAAGAUUAUCGGAAGGAAGAGAAUCUAGCCUCUGUUUCUACAGGGAGGAAGCGAAAGAAGACCCAAACAAAGACUCAACAAGACAAACGCUCAAAGCCUAGUAGCAAUGAAGAAGUGGACUAUUGUGCAUUGAGAAGAAUUUCUGCUUUGGUGAUAUGGUAUCUCCCCGUGGUUGAUCGUUUGAGGUGUUUGUUUGCAAACCGUGAAGACGCUGAACUUAUGACCUGGCAUGCUUCAGAUGAAAGGAAAGAUGAUGGAAAGUUACGACAUCCAGCCGAUGCAAAGCAAUGGAAAGAUUUCGAUAAGAAAUAUCUAGACUUUGCUGACGAUCCACGGAAUGUAAGGUUUGCACUGAGUACUGAUGGAAUGAAUCCAUUUGGCGAAAGGAGCAGCACGCACAGCACAUGGCCGGUGAUCCUGACAAUAUACAACCUUCCUUCUUGGUUGUGUCAAAAGAGAAAAUAUCUUUUGCUAACCAUUCUUAUUUCUGGACCUACACAACCUGGAAUUGAUAUGGAUGUAUUUCUAGAGCCCUUAAUGCAAGACAUGCAAACACUAUGGGAAGUAGGUGUGGACAUGAUCGAUGCGUUCCGCAAAGAGACAUUCACAGUGAGAGCAAUUAUUAUUGUCACAAUUAAUGAUUACCCUGCUCUCUUCUCAUUAUCAGGCCAGUUCAAGGGAAAGGUUGGUUGUGUAGAGUGCAUAGAUGGAACAUGACACGUGUCUCUUCCUGCAUCUAACAAGAUAGUGUACAUGAGGCACAGAAGAUGGCUACCGGCAGGCCAUAAGUACCGCUUACAAAAGAUGAAUAAGUACUUCGACAAAAUUGAUGAAUCAAAAUCUACUGCUCCAUCAGGUUGUAGUAAAGGGCAUAGAGUGUACAAGAUAGUUGAGAAUGUGAAGUUUGUUUUUGGAAAGAAGACCAAAGAUGGGAAACCAAGAAAGGUUGUCAAGGCAAAUGAAGGGCACACAAGUCCAUUUUCUUCAAGUACUUAUCGUACUGGAAAGACUUGGACGUACGACAUGCGAUCGAUGAUAUGCAUGUUCAGAAGAAUGUGUUUGAAAGCAUAAUUGGAACCUUGUUAGACAUAAAGAGCAAGACAAAGGAAGGUCUCAAUUCACAUUUGGACAUGCAACAUUUAAAGAUCAGAAAAGAACUUCACCCUGUACUCCUAGAGAAUGGGAAGUACCACCUACCGGCAGCAAGCUACAACCUGAACAGAGAGGAGAAACAUGCAAUGUGUGUGUGGUUCAAGAAUUUAAAAGUUCCAUCUGGUUUCUGCUCCAACAUAAGGAGUCUUGUGUCGAUGAAAGACCUUACAUUCACCAACUACAACUCACAUGAUUGUCAUGUCAUGCUGACCACUUUUCUUCCUAUCGCCAUCAGGGCUAUAAAUCCAGUGUUCUUAAAGAUGGCAAUCACAUAGCUGUGCUACUUCUUUAAUAAGAUAUCUGAGAAGGUAAUUGUCCGUGAUGAGUUAGAGUCCCUACAAAAAUUUGCUGCAGAGACAUUGAGCUAGUUGGAGAUGUGCUUUCCCCCAUCGUUCUUUGAUAUCAUGGUACACCUUGUUGUUCAUUUGGUACCUCAAAUAGAGGCAUUAGGUCCCAUGUAUUUCCAUGAAAUGUGGACGUUUGAGCGUUUCAUGUCAAUAUUGAAUGGCUAUAUGUCAAAUCGUGCUCAUCCGGAGGGUUCCAUGAUAGAGGCGUACACUACAGAAGAGGCCAUUGAGUCUGGAGGACCAUUAUGUAAUAAUCUCCUAAAAGACCAGGUAUCAAUUGGUUUGCCUCCAUUGCGACAUGAGGGAAGGCUUGAUGGACGCGGGAGAAUGGGACGGAAAUCAUUCAUCCCGCUAGAUUACAACAUAGUCCUAGAGGCACAUUAUAGCAUACUACAACAACUCAUAAUAAUGGACCCAUUCAUUGAGCAACACAUGAAAGAGCUUCGUGAGAAGAAUCCAGGAUGCACAAAUGAUUGGGUACACAAGAAACACAAGCGUCAGUUCACCACAUGGUUAAAGGAUUUGGACAUGACAGAGGAAUCAGAAACCAUCAAGAUUUUAGCAUCUGGACCAUCAAGCCAGGUCACAUCAUGGCAGAGCUAUGACAUUAGUGGCUUUUCAUUUUCCACCAGCUAUAGGGACACCAAGAGCAUGGCACAGAAUAGUGGCGUUUGAUGCGAGGCUAUAGAUGAUGCAACUGGUGAAACAACUACAUACUUUGGGUUCAUUGAUGACAUAUGGGAGGUAGAAUAUGGUCCACUCCUGCAAAUUCUAGUGUUUUGAUGCCGAUGGGUUCAAGAUAAACAUGUCACUGUGGAUAACUAUGGCCAGAGAGUUCUUGACCUAAGUAAAGUAGGUUAUAAAGAUGAUCCGUGGAUCCUUGCUAAACCGUGCCGCACAAGUCUUCUAUGUGGAACAAAUCCUUUCUAAGGAUGAAAAGAAAAAUAGCCAAAAGCCAAAGCAUAUAGCUAUUCAUGGAAAGCAACAAAUUAUAGGAGUUGAUGGUGUAAUAGAUUUAGAGGAUGUUAACCAAUUCAGCGAGAUGUCUCUUUUUACAAACUUUCAAGAAAACAUAAAAAAUGUUGAGAAAAGUAUCCCACAAUCCUCAUUGCCAUGGGUGCGCCACGAUGGACAAGGAAGGACUGUAGCACGCUAGAUUCUAUAAGUUGUCAUUACUCAUGUAUCACUUAUCAUUUGUACCUUAUGCUACUAUUUCUUAUUAAGCAACAUGUUUACAUUUUCCAUUUGUUUUAUAUCUUAUGCUAUUUUAUAAUAUUUGUACAAUUUAUUACGGAUUAUUUAAUUUUUGAAACAAACAUAAUUAACAAACCAUUAAUCACUAAGUAAAUUAAUUAACAAAGCACUCCUUUUCUAUUUUAACAGAGGACGUCCGCGCCACCGUUGAGGUGAGCCGAGGUGUGGCGGCGGCAGCCGUGCGCGUCGCCGCCCCUCCCAACGCCGGCGGCAGCCAGGCAGCUUGCUGGGCCCUGGGCCGGGUAGGCCGCCCUUGCUGCCUUUUUUUUAGUUUUUUGUAAAUUAUUUAUUUGUUAAUUAUUGAUUAAUUAUUUAAUUGUUAAUUAGUAAUUAUUUGUAAAUUAUUUAUUACUUUAUUAAUUAUUGAUUAAUUAAUUAUUUGUUAAGUAGGGUUUCUUAAUUAGGGUUUGUUAGUUAUUUAUUUGUUAAUUAAUUAUUUAUUUAUUAAUUGUUUGUUAAGUAGGGUUUCUUAAUUAGGGUUAGUUAGUUAAUUAAUUGUUAAUUAUUUAUUUAUUUAUUAAAUAUUGAUUAAUUAAUAAAUUGUUAAGUUAUUUAUUUGUUAGUUAUUAAUUAGUUAUUUAUUUGUUAAGUUAUUAAUUAGGGUUUGUUAGUUAUUAAUUAGUUAUUUAUUUAUUAAUUAUUGAUUAAUUAAUUAUUUGUUAAGUAGGGUUUUUAAUUAGGGUUAUUUAUUUGUUAGUUAUUUAUUUAUUAAUUAGUUGUUAGUUAUUUGUUGAGUAGGGUUUCUAAAUUAGGGUGUCUUAGUUAAUUAUUAAUUAGUUAUUUAUUUGUUAAGUAUGGUUUCCAGGAUGUCCGCUAGUGUUAAUUAGGGUUUGUUAAUUAAUUAGGGUUUGUUAAUUACAGUUUGUUAGUUAAUUGUUUAUUAAUUAUUUGUUUGAUUAGAUGAGUACUCCAUCGAAUGUUGGAGCCCAGAUAGAAACACCGGGAUCCGACACUUAUAGAAGCCCGAGCGUAUCACCACGUGAAUCCCCCACAUCUAAGAAGGCUCGUCUAGAGUUGGAACAUGACCCGACAUACGAGCCUCAAGCUGAUCCGGAUGAUGAUGAGGUAUAUAUUGUAGUAAAGUGUCUAUACAAGAGAAUACAUGUGUAUAUAUGUAUGUACCUAACAAUUGAAUGGACAGAAGGUGUUAUCUCAAGUUGUUGCCGAAAUGGAGGCAGAAGAACAAGAUGUUCAGAAGGACACGGCGCCUCAAACGACUGGGACAUCCUCUGAGCCAAGAAGUAAAACAAAAAAAGUGAUCGGGCAGAAGAAGUUUAUCAGAUUAUAGAGUUAAGUCCGAGCGGAGAGCCCUUAGCACCUCUAGAGGCGCUACCCAAAUUUAGGGCCGCAAUUGGAUUUUUAGUAAAAGAGGAAUUUGAUAUCACUUGGAGUGAUUGGAGUAUGGUGCCACAAGUGAAAAGGACCACUUGCUGGAAUCGCUUGUGCACUUGAUUUAUUUUUCCGGAUGGUACAGAUGAUUUGGCCAAGGGUUUUGUCAUGAAGCAAUUGGCAAUAUCAUUCCGGGGCUAUAGGCACGAUAUGAACAAAAAGUGGUUGCAGAAGGGACCGGACCCGACGAAGCGGUACCCUAUCACAGAGGCUCAGUGGGCAUGUUUUCGUUUGAUGAGAGAAUCGGAUGAUGCCAAGGCUAAGAGCAAAGCCGCCUCUGAACUCGCGAAGAGGAACAAGUAUCACCACCACCUUGGCACUGGUGGUUAUAAGACCAAGAUUCCUAAAUGGAGGGCAGAAGACGAUGCAAAGAGGAGAGAGGGCCAUUUGGAAUUGACCGAUAUAGUGCCUGAAAGGAGUGCGAAUUGGCUUCGCACUCGGAAGGCAAACACUAAGAGCGAUGAGAUGUCAUGUCCCGAUGAGAUUAGAGAAGUUGCCGACAAGGUUUUGGAAGCAUCAAACCUGGAAAAGAAAGGUGCCUUCAAGUCACAGAGGGAGAGGGACAUCCUUACCCAUGCUCUAGGUAACCCCGAGCAUCCAAGACGUGUACGGGGAUUCUCCUCCAGAAUUAGUUGGAAAGAAGGAUUCGGUGAUGAGUGGAAAGACAUGUAUAAGAAAAGAGACCGACAUAAGGAGAAAAUGAAAGAUUUUUUUGAGGAGCAGGCUGCAAAAAAGUUUAGGGAUAUGAUGGAAGACUUCUUUACAAAUCCUGAUCCUAAAGUGAUGAAGCAGUUGGCAGGAGCAGUGUCUGCUCAACAAAUGUCCUCACAAGCUCCUUCGCAUAUGCAGCUUGUACCAGCUCAACCCUUGGAGCGUCAAGAGAUGGCCACACAAUCUAUGCCCUUUCCAAGCAGUAUAGUGUCAACAACAAAUAAGGACCAUUAUCCAGUUGAUGAUAUUGAUAGACCUUGGCCUUGCUCCUUGGUCAUAUCCUAUGGCCUUAAGAAUCUGCAUACAAAGCAAGUGGCCACCGGCAAUGCUAUCCCAGGACGUACAUUCCAUACUGUUGACAUGCAAGAUGCAUACUGUAGGGUGGAAGUGUUGACGGUCGAGGUCGGAUAUGAAGACGACUUCAUAGACAUCCCGACCUCUUGAGGGUAUAGAGAAGCUUGGACAAGCAAUCAACAACUUCAUACAAUGGCCGAGACGGUACGUAAGGUUGAUUGAUCCACCAGCGCCACCCUCUCCAAGCAUAGUGCCUCAACCAUCCCAAGAGGCCGAAACAUAUCAACAGCCACCAUCACCAAUGCAUGCUCCAGCAUCCCCGUACAUUUAUGAGCCACCACCAUCCUCCCCAAUACAUGAGAUGGCAUUCUUGCAGAAUGAGCCCGAGGUGCCAGCCAAGGAGAACAUGCCUGAGCAGCAGACUCCGCCAUCCAAGGAGAAUAAGCAAACUCCCCCACCACCUCCAAAGGAGAAGGAUGAGCAGACUCCCCCACCACCUCCAAAGCAGAAGGAAGAUGAGCAAACUCCCCCAGCAGCACCGGCCUCUAAGAAGGUGAAGAAAUUUCCAAUUCCAAAAUUGAUUUCUCCCUAUGAGCCAAAAAAGAGGAAAGCAGCAGGCACAGCUCUCUUUCUGAAAGGACUUGGAAAGCAGCGGACGACACGGCUUAUUGAGCUCGAACCGUCAUAGAAAAAGGAAGCCACCGCCCAGUCAAUAGAAGCCAUGCCCCCAUCAAAGGAAGCCCCAAGUGGCGAUGUACAUGUCAAACAGCCAUCAAGUCAACCAUUGACCCUAAAGGAUAUCAGAAAGCCAACGAUUGAUGAUUAUGUCAAUGUCCCCAGUGACUAUGUGCCCGGAAGGCCUAUGCUCCAAUGGACGCUGCUUGAUAAGAUUCAAUGGCCGAUAAAAAGGUUUCAUGACUGGUACAUGAGAGCAGUGUAUGCUGGCCUCCAUGCAAUCAGAGUUGAUAUACCAGCAGACGUGUUUGCUACUGGUAACGAAAAAAGUAACGCAUUUGUUACCUUUGAGGACAUGCACUUGUUAUUGAACUAUAGGCGGCUUGACGUCCAACUCAUAACAAUUUGGUGUCUGUAAGUAUCACUCAUGCACACACAAUUAUUAUUAAUAUGUAGUGUGAAACUCUAAUAUGUAGAUGUUGUCUGUAGUUUGCAAGAUCAUGAGCAGAGGUCAUUAUUAUCUACCGGAUCGAUGGUCGGUUAUCUGAGCCCUAUCAAGUUACAAGAAAAUAUGCACAAAUUUGUAUUAUCAAAGGAAGAUAGAGCAAAGAUAGAGGAAUACAAAACACCAGAAGAAGUUGCAGAAGCUAUAAAAGAGUUGCAAAGAAAAUAUGAGGAUAAUUAUGCCCUCUAUUUUGGUAGAUCAAUGCUGAGGUAUAAUCAUAGGGAUUUUAUAUUGGCACCUUACAACUUUAGGUAAGCUUGACUUCAUAUACGUACUUCAAAUAAUUAUCGUGUAAACAAUAUACAUGUGUCGCUCACUCAUUUAUUCAUGCAGUGACCAUUGGAUUGUUUUUUAUAUUUAUCACUUCGAAGGGAAGGUGCUUGUCCUAGACUCUUUACAUGUUCCUCUCGAGAAGUAUCAACCAUUUUUGGUUCAAUUAGAAAGGUGAGCCAACAUGAAACCACAUGCGUACUUUUCAAAAUAACUUUAGUGAUUUAUAUUCGAUAUCUACAGGGCAUGGCGGUUUUAUAAGAAACAAAAGGGACCGGUCGACGCCACACGCUCAGAUCCUAGGGUGCCAUUGAUGAUACAACACCACUAUUCGGUAAGUUGUCCGAACACAUUUCAUCAUAUAAAUAAUACAUAAAGCAUGGAAAAUUUAGAAUAAUCCGUUGCUCAUUAUAUAGUGCCACAAGCAACCACCUAGAUCGGUCUAUUGUGGGUACUAUGUCUGUGAGUUUAUAAGGCAGCGGGGACGUUACGUCAGGGACAAAAAUAUGGUAAAUAAUAUCUAUGUAUGAAGUUUUCUUAUUAAAGUUGUAAAAUUAUAUAUUGAACAUGUGUCAAUCAUGCUUUUUAAACUUUGUUUCCAGCAAAAAAAACAAGGAAAGGACGUGCCCUUUACACCAAAGACUCUGGAAGAUAUAGUAGCAGACUUGUGUGGUUUUAUUAUGAGAGAAAUAAUUCUAAGUGACGGUGCAUAUUUUGAUCAUGAGGGCGAUUUGGCAAGUGAUAAAUUUAGAGUGCUGACAGACAUAGCAGGUCUAAAUCUGAAGUGAAAUGACAUGUAAACACUAUAUGGUUGUGCGGAUAACAUGCAUUGACGUAUAUAUAUAUAUAUAUAUAUAUGUGUGUGUGUGUGUGUGUAAUUUUAUGGUUGAUGUUUGAUUUCAUGUUUACAAUUCUAUAAUAUAUAUAUGUGGUGUAUGUAUGAUGUGUGUGUAUGUGUGUGUAUAUAUAUAUAUAAAUGAUGUUUAGCCCUGUGGUGGGAAAAAUUAGAAUUUGAAAUAUAUAUAAAAAAUUAUUUACACAGGCGGUGUAGUGUGAGCCGCCUGUGUAAAAAUACAUUUAUACAGGCGGCUCACCUUGUCAGCCGCUUGUGUAGAAAUACAUUUACACAGGCCGCUGGCUAGGUGAGCAGCCUGUGAAAACCUAAUUUUCACAGGUGGCUCACACAGCCCCGCCUGUACUGUGGUCCAUUUUGUACUGACCCUGGUAUAGGUGGUGGGCUUAGCCGUCUGUGAAGAUGCUUUUAGCACCGCCUGUAAAAAUAUUUUCUGUAGCAGUGUACUAUUGCUGUUAUCAUUACUAUUAUUAUUACUAUUAUAUUAUUAUAUAGAUAAUUAGUAAUAGAUUUAGAUAUAGACAGAUAUAGAUAUAGAUUACUGGAUAUAGAUAUAUACAUGGAUAUAGAGAUUACGUCCGUUGGUUGAAUCGCGUCGUAUGUGUCGUGUCGUGUGUGUGUACGUACCCGAAGCCCUCUCUGGCGUAGUAGGGGAAGGUGGAGAGCGAGGUCUCGUCGACAUCAAACACCCACACCUCCUUGCCGUUGCCGGCGAGCUUGAGCCCCUCGGCGUACGCGAUGGCCUCGUCGACGACGACGCGGGAGUCCCCGGCGAUAUUGCUGGCCGAGCAUGUAGUGGCCGACGUAGUCCUUGCAGUUGGCGGGCACCGUCUUCCAGUCGCGCUUGUUGUAGGCCUCCACGGCGAGCCGCCAGCUAUCGCACGGCACGCCGGCGAGCCGGCCCAGGUCUCCGGCGGAGCCCAGCAGCGGGUGCAGCGCGUGGAUUAGCGGCGUGGCCACGCCUUCUUGGAGAUGGGCCGCGGCUUCCUCUGUCGCGCGCACCGUGGGCAACCGGAUCAUGUUCAGAUCCCAUGCGGCGCCGGUGGCCAUGAGAGCAGCCACGAGCAGGACGAGCCUGGCCACCGCCGCCAUUAGUAGAUGAUGAUUCCUCCUGGCUUGGUCUUGGGUGAAGUGUUAUUGCUUGUUGCAAUGGCCAACUGGCUGUGGGGCACAUAAAUAGAGGAUGGUUUGUAUCUCCCCUAAUAAUGCACCGAGUUUUUCUUUUCUACCUCCACACCAAAAAACGUCCCCCGCUGAGGAGCCCUCUCUCCAUCCAUCCAGAAAAGUGUACCCAGAAGUUUUUCUUUCCUACCUCCACACCAAAAAACGUCCCCCGCUGAGGAGCCCUCUCUCCAUCAAUCCAGAAAAGUGUACCCAGAAACACAACAUCUUUAAAAUAGACCGUCUAGAUUUAAUCUAAGUAUUCUCUCUCCUUACUCACUCAAAUCCAAGGGCUAAGAUUGCUCGUAUCAACCUCCUCAGCCUUUGCUGUCCGCCCCCAACAAAAACAAAAACACCUGUUGCGCCGCCGCUAAUCACGUCUAUCGCGUCUCGUGACUCUAAUCCCAACGCUCGCACCGAGGGACUCCUGCUGCUCGCCGUGAAUCAUACCGGCGCCACACACGAACAUCUGCUAAUCACAACCACCGAGUGCACACAAUCGCCGAGACGGGACCAUCACCGAGCAGCCGAUGCAGAUCGAGCGUCCACACAUUCGGCCGCCGGUGGAGUCAGGCAUCCAAUCCGCGCAGCGGCGGCCGGUGCCGAGUGCAGAUCAGGUACUUGCUUGCUGCCCCUUGUUACCAUUGUCAGGCAUCCAUGUAUCAGCAGUGCAGAUCCUGGUGCAUGCUUGCUGCCCCCUGUUACCAUUGUCGCAAAGACGACAGUGCUACUUGUUUCAAAGUUGGAGCCAUGUCUUCUCAGUUUAUGUUAUAAGGGACAACUCAAAUUUUGUUCUCUCUUGCCUUUUGCAAGGACUGACAUACUGAAUGAAAUAAAAAAAUAAAAAAACUGAAUGACUAAAUUGGAUGUAGAACUAAAAUAAAAAAAAUACAUACGAUCCAAGUUAUAUAUAAUAAUAUAUAAUAAUAAUAAUAAUAAAAGAUAUUGUAUUAUUAGGGUAGAUAAAAAAAUAGGAUCUCAUCAUGUUUCUUUUUUCCAAUGAUGUUUUGUUGUCAUCCCUCGGUCCUCACUCUAUUCUCAGACCGAGUAAUAUAUAAUAUGAUUUUUAGAUUAUUAUUUAUCAGUCUUACAUAGAAAAAUGGGAACGCCAAAAAAGGGACGGAUUUCGCUUAGCGAUGUAACAAACAUACAUACAUAUUCCAGAUAUAAGCAUAUACACAUAUUGCAAUGAAAUAUUAUAUACAACGCCAUAAAUAAUAAAUAAGAAACCUCCAUGUCCACAGCUUGCAGCGAAAAACAACUUAAGAGAGACGAAAGGAAUAGGAAACAACGUGAGUACCGUGUUAGAAAAGAGGGCUCAAGAAACGGACGAGGAACAGGAGGAGAGGAAUAAGAGGCAGCGUGAGUACCGUGCUCGCCGAAAGGCCGAAACAAGUGCACUUUCAAAUGUACCGGAUCACCAGAUGCAUGAUCUUCGCUAUUCUUGUGUGGUAUAAGAAUAUGAUGUUUAUUUUUGUUCAUGUCCUUUAAAUAGACUAUGUUGUAGGAACCCAUUCAACUUAUGGGACACCUUUCUCGGCCAUCCUGCAGCCAUUGUGCGAGGGAUGCAUUGUAGCCCCAAACAUGAACUUUGUUGACAUGGAUAUGGCAGGAACCUUGCUCGGAGUAGGUCAAGCAUCACCAUCAGAGACCUUGGAUUCCGAGAUCUUUACUGGACCACCCUCGGUUCAAGACAAAGAAAACCAAAGCCCAUGUCAUUCUCCAAUAUGGUUGCAUUGAAACAAUAACUACUACGUCAGAGUGAGGCAUCAGGUGUCUGGAGAUAAUGCAUUUCAGCAAUCUCCUCAAAUAGUGGAUCCAGGUGUGUGUCAUUUAGUAAAAUUUAUACAAAAAAUAGUUUAGGAUCUAGGUGUGUGCCUUUUAUUGAAAAUUUUACACUAACUAAUUUUUAAUAUUUAUAUGACAAUUAGUGAAAUUUUUGCACUGACUAAUUUUUUAUAUGCCACCAUAACAACAAAUUGUUCAUCAGUUUCCAGUUCACUUGGCAACAAGCUAUUGAGAAGAGAGAAAUACAACUUUAUGGAAGCCUAAAAAAACAGACAUUAUUGGAGAAAAAAGGGACUACGCAAGGGACCUCAAGUUUGUUUGUUGUAAGUUGAUAUAAUUAUUCCCUUCAUGUGUAUAUAUAAUUGUAAUAAUUAAUUAAAUUCUAAUAAAUUUUGGAAAAUCAACAGUCUAUAACUCAGUUUGGGCGAGAUCCAUGGUGUUGUGACAAGAUAGAAAUAAUGACUAGCAAAAUUGUUUGAAUGUUGGCCUGAUAUGGACUACAAAAUUCAAAAUUGCAACAAUGUAAGAUAUUAUUCCGUAAAUUCCUUAUAUUUGUUUACAGGUUCUAUUCCCAUAUUGGCGUGAUAGACACUAUAUUUUAUUCAUAUUAGACAUAAGUAACAAAUUUUUGUACAUUAUUAAUCCGAAUUCUCCAAAUCUAUGGCACAUGACUGAUGAUCCAAGCAAGCCAUAUACACCUAUACUAAAUAUUAUUUUGAAUCAUUUCAACCUUGCCAUGAAAUUAGCAAAUCCUAUAUGGAACGACAAUAUUUUUCUCUGGCGUCAUGAAUUCAUAAAAAAAUCAUCCAAAAAGCAAGGACUGGUAAAAACUUAUUUUAAUUUUUUUAUCUUUUUUAUCAAAUAGUCAUUUGAUUUUAUCUACAACAAACAAACACUUUCUCUCUUCUUCUAUAGGAAAUUGGCAGGCUUUCUCGUAUACAACUUCAUAAAGUCAUGGAAUGGUGAAAGACUGACGUUUAUCGACACUGUAAGCUUAUAUAAUUUAUAUGUAUAAUAUCUUGUAGCCUAUAUAGAAAAAUAAUAAGUUAACUUAUUAUCUACCAUUCACAGAGGUCACGUUCACUAAGGACUGAAUUCAUAGUGAAUAUUUUGAAGAGCAGCACAAAUGAAUGUACAGAUAAUAUCUCUGGAGAACUCCAAGUUCUACUUCAACAAAUAAAUUAGCUGAAAUAUACGAGAUAUGAUUUUAUUGUGUCUUGUUAUACAUUAGCAUUUCCCAUAAUUGAAUGUGACUUAAACUAUUGAACAAUAUCGUUGUUUUGUUCUUUUUAAUUACACCCUAGAAUGAAACCGUCGUGUGCCACGGGCACUAUACUAGUGGUGAUAGUAGUCUGAUCUGCAUGUCAGAGAUGGGCAACUGAGAAAUACCGUGUUAUCCUUGUCGAGCGACAUCCCUUAACACAACAACCAAUCAUUUAUUUAUUCUGAGUACCUUACGGACCACAUUCAAGUCCAAAGUUAAUUCUAUCAAAUCUGAAGUACUUCAUUGGAUUGAAUCAAUAACAUAUUUCCCAAGGAACAGUUAAUCUAUUUAUAGAGAACAGUUAAUCCUUAGUGCCCGUGCUAACGCUACGGUUUUAUUUAAAAAAUACAUAUGAAAACAACCAAUCAUUUAUUUAUUCUGAGUAUCUUACGGACCACAUUAAAGUCCAAAGUUAAUUUUAUCAAAUCUGAAGUACUUCAUUGGAUUGAAUCAAUAACAUAUUUCCCAAGGAACAGUUAAUCUAUUUAUAGAGAACAGUUAAUCCUUCUAAAACAGGUCCAACAUCCUGUAAAAUUAUAGAGAACCAUACAUUUUUUUAAAUUCUUUUGCACCUUAAGCAUAUAGGGGAUUAUAUAAGCUCGAAACAUACAUAGUAGGUAAUUGUAAUUUAUGGACUUACUCAUUUAAGGAUUCAUCAUAGCAGAACAUGUUUAUAAACGAUAUUCUUGGUGCUCUUGCCUGUGGAAGCAAACUGGAAUAUUACUUUUUGAUUUAUGGCAAAGAUGCAGUAAGAUGCACAAUUAGUUGACAUAACAGUUCACCACAUAUAGCAAGGCAGAAACAUUCGGGUCUGAAUUUCUACUUACCUACACAAAAAUCAACUACAGGCAAGCAUCUGACCCCAUUCUAAAUCACAUACCUCCAAGAGGUAGAUAGUAUUGGAACUCCUCUUCUCAGUGGAAUAUCAUUGGACACCUAUAUUGUACGCAAAAGCAAAACACGAUUAAUUUACAUAUAGAUGGCCACAAGUGCACAACUCCGUGAUAACAGAGAGCUGAUGUUUCGGCUGCCACAAGAAGAAAAACUUUUGCACGUCGUUUUCACCAGCAUACCGAUCAAGUACUCCCAAAUAUGAAUCCCACCAAACUGAACGCUGAUCCAUUGUUCCAAGGCCACCACUGAAUAGCAACCGUGAGAGUCCUCCAAGAGGCAAGAUCAUCAACCCUCGCUACUCGUUGAGUCAUAAGGCAAACUCCAUCUCAGCUCGUUUCAGGACACGUGAAACCAUAGAGUAGAAUUCAGGUUCUUCUUCUUUUAUUGGGUCGAGUGUGGUGGAUUCAUGGGCAUCAGCCUGCAUAAAUAGGAGAAGGUGAACCAAUGGACAGGAAAAGCCCGCCAGUCAUUUCAUUUGCAACUAAGGAUGAAAACGGAACGGAAAUAUCCCGAACCGAACCGAACCGCUUUCUAUAUUGGAUCCGAUCGAAUUCGUAUUUUUUUGUCCGACUUUAUCGUUUUCGCUUUCGUAUUUUAGAUGUUUCGUAUUUCAAAUAUAAAAGUAGAAAACGGUUUUGACAUUUUUCGACCGUUUUCUACUUUUCUACUUUUAAUAUGAAAUAUUUCGAAUUCAAAAUUUGGUUUAAACCGAAUUUAGUCAACUGUAGGGUCACACAGUCUAAUUAUAGACUACUCACCAUGCAUCUGCGUUCUUUCUACUAGUGGCUAGUUGUGUUCAUGUUAGCUAUUAAUUGCUUAUUCUAGACUUGUAUUUAUGUGUGGGCUAUUGUAUUAAAUACCUAAGACUAAGAAGCAUGCACUUUUUAAUUAUUAUAUGCACUUGAACUUGAUCCUAUAUAUACUUUUAUAGUCAUGCACUUUUAUAUAUCAGUAUUUCGUAUUGAGUUUUCGUAUAUCGACCGUGUUCGACAUAAAUCCGAUCGAAUUGGUUCGUUUUCGAAAUUCUCGAUAUUUCGUAAGUUCGUGUUCGUUUUCGUGUCCGACUUUACCGUUUUCGUUUUCGUUUUCGUAUUUCAAAUGUAAAAGUAGAAAACAAUUUAGGAGUUUUUCGACAGUUUCCGACCGUUUUCAUCCUUAUCUGCAACAUAUGCCAUCUUGGAAUUCAACUUCAAUGUUCCAUGAGCAUUCGUGACUUGUUACCUCACUAAACUUGAGAAGUAUUAAGUUUGAGAUGCCAGCAGCCUUUGAUUUGUCCCACCUAUAACAAAGUAAUUACAGGAAUUAAUGUCAAAAAAAAUCUCAUCGAAAUUUAAGACAUUACCAAUGCCAAGCCACUUCAGAGUUACAAGCUAACAUAGCUAAUUAUCCAGACUUAAAAGAUGUCAGUCACCCUACGCUAGAGAUAAUGCAAGUUGGAUUUUGCUUUUGCUCUACCAAAUCAGAUAUGAUGGGAACUUAGGUAGUGCCACAAAAGGCACGAUGAUCUCAAGCCACACUAUCAGUUAGAGAAGGAAGCAUACCGAACAAGCAUUAGUUCAUUGACAGAUCUCCACAUUUUCCGACCCGUGUCCUUCUGACUUUGGUCUCUAGCACUUCGACCACGCCACAAUUCUUUGACAAUGUACAUUACCUCUUCAGAAUCUACCUUUAGAUUGUAAAAGAGAAUGUUACAAACGUAGACGUACAAAAGGAUAUCAAAACAAGUGAAGGUGAAUAAUCCCUUUUUCACAUGUGCUGGUCACCAUCAACAUAAAUAAAUAACACCUCAACUACAUAAUUCUCGAAGAAAAUAUCUUAUUUCCAGGAUAUGACAUUACAUAGCAAGAAACAUAGUACCAGAACUUGCUCGGCUGUCCCAUACAUCAGCUCCUCAUGCUCAAUAAGACGCUGAUGAAGUAUACGGUAAUGAUCCAAAUCCAGGUUAACAACUGGUUCAGUUUGAUAAUCUAAUCCAGCAAGCUGAGUAAUCACAUAGGAGGCUAUAACUUGACCAAAUAUUGCAGGUUAAGAUGGGACUUCAUAGUGGCUGCUCUGACAAGACUCAAUCUUCCCGCUCCUUUUAUAAAUCUCAUCUAUCAAUGUAUCUCUACCACUACUCUUUCUGUGCUGGUUAAUGGUGAGCCCUCUGCAGGCUUCUCGGUCACCAGAGGAAUAAGGCAAGGCUGUCCUCUUUCCCCUUAUCUUUUUGUAGUAGCUAUAAAUGAACUAUCAAUCUCUCUCCAAUGCCACUUGCAGAAUUCUAGACUUGCAGGUAUUUCCUUGGGGCCUGGCUGCCCCCCAAUCCACUCUCUCCUUUUUGCAGAUGACUUAAUCAUUUGUGGAAACGCCAACUUCCAGGAAGCUCAGACAAUACACUCGGCUCUUUAUGAUUUCUGUGAUCAAUCAGGUCAGACCCCCAACCUCAACAAGUCAUCCAUUUUAUUCAGUAAGAAUGUUCCUAAUCAAGUACGUAAUCAAAUUAAAUACAUUUUCCCAGUUCCUGAUCUAAACCCUAACACCAUUCACUUAGGUCACCCUCUGAUUUUUAAUCAUAAAGACAGGAACAAAGCAUAUGCUUUUAUCAAGAAUAAAUUUCAUGCUAAAUUCACCACUGUUAAAGCAAACAAAUUAAAUCACGCUGGCAGGCUCACCUAUAUUCAAUCUGUUCUCUCUGCCAUUCCUGUUUAUUAUAUGUCCACCAUCCUCUUCUCGAAAGCUUUUAUUGCUGAACUAACAACCAUCAUUAAAAGAUUUUGGUGGGCAGGAAUCCAGGAGAAAAAUGCAACUAACCCUAUCCAUUUCAGAUCUUGGGAAGAUAUCUGUCAAUCUCGUCAAAAUGGAGGUUUAGGCAUAAGAGAUCUUCAUCUUGUUAACAAAAGCCUGGCAACUAAUAAAAACCCUUUCUUACAACAAAUCAUCAAAGCAAAGUAUUAUCCCACCUCCUCAUUCUGGAACGCUACUAACAAUGUUCCCAAGUCGGCUUUCUGGUCUUCAAUUCUGCAGGUCAAACAGGAGCUAUCGGAAAGCGUGCAGCUUCAACUACAUCAAGGCAACAGUUCUAUUUGGUCAGCCCCCUGGUGUGACAUCUGGAAAUCCAUCCAUGAUCACCUGCUCAUCCCAGUCACAACUCUGCCUCUUCCAAGCACUGUAAAUCAACUCUGGUACCCAGGCACUCGUAAUUGGAACUUACCUCUUCUUAGUACCACUUUUGACAAUCAAGCUAUUCGCCAUAUCAUAAAUACCCCUACGGUUGACAGUACUGACAGUGACCUCCUAAGAUGGACUCCCGCUAAAGAUGGAUUAGGAACUGUUAAAGCUAUUUAUAAACAUCUCUCUAAUAACAACACUGUGAAUAUUCCUGCUACAGGUACAAGAAGCAUCACUCCACAAGCUAACACAAUUCUAUGCAGGGUCUGGAAAUGCAAAAGUAUCCCUCCUAUCAUUAAAACCUUCACCUGGCGACUCAUAAGAAGAGCCUUAGCCACAGCUGACAGGGCAACCAGAUUUUCAUCCCCAGGUAAUAACACAUGUGACAGAUGCAACAUGAUUGAAAAUGACUACCAUAUGUUCUUCCAAUGUACCCUCCCACGUCAGGUUUGGCUCACAGCCAACCCUUCCAUUAACACAGCUAAUCUUCCCCAUGAAAUUGAUGGUGUUCAAUCAACGCUAACCCUUAUCGUUAAUGAUACCACUCCUGAAGCUUUAUUAAGCAAAAUUCUUUAUACUCUUUGGUUCGUUUGGAAAGCCAGGAAUGACUACCACUUCAACAGAAAGGAUAGGAUAGCACCUCAAGUUCAUCAGGCCAUUCAAGCCUACAUGACCCAAAAUGAGCAAAAUCCCCCCACACAUCAUCUCAGUUUGCUCAAAACCAAGGUAAUCAACUAUCAGUUUUGCAGGCACACCUCCAACAGCCAACAAUGCACUACUGCCCCUUCCCAGCAAACCUCCAGGGCUCAAGAUGUUAUGUUGAUGCCGCAGUAACCUCUGAUGAUCAAAACAUAAACACUAACAUUGCAGGUCUAGGCAUCUUUAUCCUAAAUUUUCAGGUUCAGCCGCUCCAAGCCAUCUAUGUCCAAGCUCAACUUCAGCACUGCCACUCCGUUCUCAUGGGUGAAGCUGCAGCCCUAGCUCUUGGAGCAUCUAUUGUCCAGGCUCUUCAAAUUCCAUAUUGCAACUUUCUUUCAGAUUCCCAGCAACUGGUGCAUUUCCUCCAUCAGGAGAACCAACAGAACCCGCCCCAGUGGAGAAUCAAACCGUUUACACAGGUUUUCACCAAUACUGCAACCACACUUCAAACUCAGCUCUUCAAGAUCAACCGAAAUCAAAAUACAACAGCUGAUACUUUAGCGAAGCAGGCCCGUAGCUCCAUGCCUACAUUUUAAAGCUGUAAUUGUACCGGGCCUCAUUGUGGCCCCAUUUGUACUUUGUUCCAGGCUCUACUCCAGGUAGACCUCAACUCUGUAACCAUCUUAGCAGCUUCUUGCUGCGGGUAAUAAAUUUUAUUGCAAUUGUCAAAAAAAAAUAGUACUGGUAUAAUGCGAACCCUAAAUCCUGGGACAAUCUGUGGAAUAAUGCAUAGCAUGUUGUCAAUAGUUAUGUACACACACAUCAUGCACUCCUAUAAUAUACAAGCAAAUGGGUGUUCUAGAGGAAAUUUAAUUAACUCUUUGUAACAAAUAUUUCUUGUUCAAAAAAUCACAAGGAAAAAAGGUCUCAAGAAAUGGAACAAGCAUGUAGCAGGAGGGUGGUAAUACAAGUCCUAGGGGAGCUCACCUGGUAAUCUGAUGGAGUUUCCUCUUCUUUUGAAGCUUGAAAAGGAAGCAGCUUUGCCUUUGGCUUUUCCAAUGAAAAAACUACUGGUAUUCCACCCUCAAUUCCAUGUUCUUUCUUGAGCCUGUACCUCACCUAAAAGUAGCAAUCACAACAUCCCAUUUGCAGCACAUCUUGACAUGUCAGUUAGCUGACGAAUGAAAUGGCAGCUUACAGUGGGACAGAGUUUUGGAAGAAGUAUCAAACUAACCGAUCGAGAGAGGGGAUCAUUGCUUGAUUCUCUCAAAUCUGCAACACGAAUUCUGGUGGGAUCAGCUCGAGCUCCAGCCCCCAUUGCAGAAAGUACCUUCAAACCUCUGCGCACGCAAGCUGCAAGGAGUGCCACCUAAGGGGCAAGGAUAUUUGAACGGUUACAAAAAAAUGAAGACAAACAUUGACAAGCUUACAAAUGAUAUAUUCGUAACUAAUGUUCAAUGAAGCCAUUCGGGCUAAAAAAACAGGUUUCAACUGUCUAUGCAGGGUGGCUUUGUGUACCUUAAUCAUCAGAUACAGAGGUAAGGGAAAUUUGAGUUUACCUGUCCGCGUUCCGUCGUCGUGCCCUGGCCGCGCUCCGACGUCGCGUCCCGGCUGCCCCGGCGAGCCCCUGACCACUCGCCCCGGCCACCCGGCGAGCCUCGGCCGCGCGUCCCGGCCGCCCUGGCCACGCACCGCGGCAAGCUCUGGCCGCCCACCCGCCCUGGGGAGCCCUGGCCGUGCGCCAUGGCCAGCGAGCGCUGGCCACGCUCGCCCUGGCCAGCGAGUCCCGGCCGCGCGCCUGCCCCGUCGAGCCCUCGCCGCGCUCGCUCCGGCUGUCUUCCUUGUGCGUCGCGGAAGCCCUGGCCGCGGGAGAUCUGGCCGCGCGCCCGCGGCGGUCGCCCUGGCCGUGCGAGCCCUGUCCGGCGCGCAGUGGGCGCGCGCCCGCCCUGGCGAGCCCUAUGCGUCCCGGCGAGUGAGCCCCGGCCGCACACCUGCCACGCUCGCCUUGGCCGGCGAGCACCGGCCGCACGCCCGCCCCGGUGACCCCUGGCCGCGGUCGCCCUGGCUGGCGAGCACCGGCCGCGCGCUCGCCCCGGCGACCUUGGCCGCCCCUGGCCGCGCUCGCCCUAGCUGCGCUCGACUUCGCCGUGAACUAUUGAUCCUGGAAGAAAAAAAUAUACAAAUGCAGGUGUCUGGGCUCGAACCCGCGACGUGGCUUCUGAAGGCGCAGGCUCGCGCGCGUGUGAGAGAGGAGAGUUGGAAGCGGCUUCUAACAUCUUAAUCUGAGACGUCCGAUUUAUUGGGCGUGUGUUAACAGUCGUUGAUUUUGAAGUAGGGAGGUGACUUGAUUUCAAUUAUAGUAGAGAUAGCUCUAACUUUACAUUACAAGACCAACGCCUACACAUCUAGCGGGCACUGAGGCUUUGUUUAAUUCGCGAAAAGAAAUCUUUUAAGUAUUGUAGGACAUUUCUGAUUAUGCAAUUAAUAUUUAAUCACUAAUUAAGCUUAAAAGAUUUAUCUUGCAAAAUAUAUAUAAAUUGUGUAGUUAGUUAUUUAUUUUAAUCUAUAUUUAAUGCUCUAUGUAUAUGUUCAAACAUUCAAUGUGAUGGGGCAAAAUAUUUUUAGAUGGGAACUAAACAAGGCAUGAGAAUUGAAGGGCAACCACCAAAGGGCACACUAUCGGGGUUUUACUUAGUUAAAUCUUGAGCCGGGAUUAUGCUAGAAUCGAACAACACUAGCUAGUAUAGUGCCCUAGACAGAUAAGAGGUCGGACCCAUUAUUAAAGAAGUGAGAGGCUGGAUACGUUUGAUGCGGGAGUGCAGCGCGCAUCUCCCAAGUGAAGACAAAUGGUAAUAGUGUGACGGAUACUUUAGCUUUAUAUGCUAGAAAAUUUAAACACUUUGCGGCUUGGUUGGGUCAAGCUCGUGCGUGUGCCUUGAACUCAAUCAAUGUUGAUUGUAAUUCCCCUGUUUCUAGCUAAUAAAGCUUUCUCUUUACUCAAAAAAAAACAACGAUGCCUUCAGGAAUUCAUUUUGCUCCUUCUCUCACUACUAGAUGAAAUAUUUUGCGAGGCCUUUUGAAAUACACCUCCGAGGCAGGCAGGAUUUUCAACCGCCUCGGUUAAUAUCUACCAUUAAUCGAGGCGGUUAUUUUUUAUUAACCGAGGCAUUUACAAAAACCACCUUGUAAAAUCGAUUAACCGACGCGAAGAACUUAAAAAUGCCCGCCAUGAUUAAUAUCGAUUAACCGUGGCAGUUGUUGUAAAGUGACUGUCUCGGUAAAUACAUUAACCAAGACGGUUACAUUACAAAGCCCGCCUCAGUAAAUAUUUGGCCCAUACAGCCCAUCUAGGCUCGGUAACGGGUUUCUAAUAUAUACGUGAGCACAACAAACCCUAACUCCACUCCUCCCCUCCCUCGCUCUCAGUCGUGCAGCAGCCCAUCCCCUCGGCGUGAACAGACCGAGCUUUUUCUCAAGCUUCUCUUCCCCAGCCGUGCGUCGUGCCCCAUCCCUGCCCCGUUCCCAUAGCCGGCGGCCUCCUCUUGAGCUUCCCUCCCGUCAGCGCCCAUCUCCCUCCCUUAUUCCCAACCACGACAGCAUGUAGGCUGGGUGCGCGGCGCGGCACCCUCUCCCUGCGGUGGCUCAGGGACGUGGCCCCUCCAAUGGGGUACGACGUAGGUGGCGCGACCCCUCUAGCGGCGUGGCGCGUGGAGCGUGUCCCCUCUAACGCUGGCAAGACCGAGGGGACGCAACUCCUCUCGACUCCGGCGGCGGCGCGGGGGGCGCGGCCCCUCCUCUAUCUAUGGUGUGAGGCCGGAUCUGGCUUCUCCAGCAUGGAUCUGCGCGUAGGGCAGCUAAAUCCGAGCGGCAACGGCGCUCUUGGCGUGGAUCUGGCGUGGGGCGGCGGCGGCGCUCCUCCUGUGAUGGCGGCUGUCCAGCGAGGACCAGCGAUGACAGCGACCCAUGUAUGGGCUCGACGGGCUUGUGAUGGGCUCACCGGGCCUAGCCAUGGAUUUUUUUAUUUGAUUAACCGAGGCGGGCAGCAAAACGCCUCAGAAAAUACCUCCAUUUAUUAUGACCUUUCAUUCGAUGUGUUUUUGUUGCCCGCCUUGGUAAAUAAAAAAUGCUCGUCUUGAAAAUGAUUUUCCGUAGUAGUGUCUUCGUGUCUUCGCUUUCGGGUUUUACUUGGUGUCUUGAACUCGUAUAGCAUGUCUUGUUUGUUCUCAACGGUAGCUCUAGUGUCUUGUUCGAGGUGCUGAUCACUCCAACCUUCAGAGUGCCUAAUUCCAAGCCAACCUUACAUCCAAUGAACUAAACCUAACAGGUUUUUGGCUGUUGAUUACAGCUGCUGUCAAGAAUAGUUAGCAAUUAUUCCGCUGGUAAGGGCCACAGUAUUCAAAGAAUUUAUAAACAAUAAUAUCCUCGUGCUUGUGCCCUCGUGAGCUGCACAUUUAUUAAUGUGCUCUAUCUUUCGCGCAUUCCCAUUUGAACUGGCAAAGGCCAGAUUGUGGUAUGUCUAGCGCAAAUGCAUGCGUCGUUAAUAAAUUUUAAAGAUGUAGAAGAGGACAACUUUAACGUUCAUAUAUUACGAAUGGGUUCACUUUUACCCCCCUCUAUAAAAAAUAUCGAACUGUUUAAGCUUUGUCUUAAGUCAAAUUAAACUUGGGUACCUUUAACUUUACAUGAUACAACGCGGUAUUAAUUUAUUUCAUCUCUUCAACAUGAUAAAGCGUAUUUAUCUUUUCUUUUUGAACAUUAAGCGUAUCAAUGAAAAAAUUCCGGCCUCUGCAUUACAAUGUUACCAGCUUAUAUUGUUAAUCUCUUGAAUAGUUCAACGAUUCUUAUCGCAAAGCAAUUAAGUUCAAACAACAGAAAACCAAAAGUAGGCGACAACAUGGAGUCAUUAUUAGUCAUCAAGCACGGAUUCGGGCAUAUUAUAACAACAAUCUAAAAGCAUUUCAUCUUCUCAUAACAGGCUAUCAUUGCAACACAUUAUGGACGGUCGGCCAUUAUUGGAUGAUCGGGCAGCUCGAAGUUGCGUUGCCUGUCUGCUGUCGCCCUAGCUUAGCCAAUGUAGUACAAGGGGUCGGGCAGCUUGAAGGUGCGCGCACCCUCCGGUGCGCCAAGGAUGUCGCUCCACUGGUCGCCGAUGUUGCCGACGAUGACGUACCCAGCGUUCUGGAGCUUCUGCCGUGCACCGGACUUGUAGCCGAUGGCGGUGCCCUUGAAGCCGAUGGGCUUGAGCAGCAGAUGCAUCCAGCCGGAGUAGCCCUGGCGGCGGAGGUUGGUGACGGUGAUGGCCCUCUGGUCCUCGGUGCGCCCCGUCAGGAACACCGGCUUGAUGCCGAGCGAGAUCAGCUUCUUGAAGAGCCGCUGCGUCUCCGGCAGCACCGGCGCGCUCCCCUCCAGCACGUACUCGUUGAAGCUCGUCGCGUUGUAGGGCUUAGUACUGUGAUCAAGAAAAGAAACACAUGGAUUCGCAGGUUCGUUAUAAUUAGCACAUAGCGUGUUAGUUUUAAUUUAUUACGUCAGUGUGAAUGGAAAACUAUAUAUGUACAUGGAUACGCACGUACCCGAAGCCGUGUUUGGCGUAGUAGGGGAGGUUGGAGAGCGAGGUCUCGUCGAUAUCGAACACCCACACCUCCUUGCCGUUGCCGGCGAGCUUGAGCCCCUCGGCGUACGCGAUGGCCUCGUCGGCGACGACGCGGGAGUCCAGGCGGUAUUGCCGGCCGAGCAUGUAGUGGCCGACGUAGUGCUCGCAGUUGGCGGGCACCGUCUUCCAGUCGCGCUUGUUGUAGGCCUCCACGGCCAGGCGCCAGCUGUCGCACGGCACGCCGGCGCGCCGGCCCAGGUCUCCGGCGGAGCCUACCAGCGGGUGCAGAGCGUGGAUCAGCGGCGCGGCCAUGCCUUCCUGGAGACGGGCCGCCGCCUCCUCUAUCGCACGCGUCG
rnacentral:lncRNA from 1 species